rnacentral:lncRNA from 1 species
CUUCUAAGAUCUUGAUUUGUCCGACCUCUUCUCUCUUCAACACCUUUGAAAAUGUCUGGCCCCUCCGACCGUCGUUUUGACUUGAACCUUGUUGAAGAGGCAGCCCCGCCUUCUCUCCAGAUAACAUAUGGCGCCCAUCCUUCGUCUCCCCAACUGGUCCUCUUACCGUUGGGGAUUCCGUGAUGAAGAAUGAUAUGACCGCUGCGGUGGUGGCCAGGAACCUUCUCACUCCCAAAGAUAACAGACUACUUUCCAAACGGUCUGAUGAGUUAGCUGUUAAGGAUUCGCUGGCUCUCAGUGUUCAGUGUGCAGGUUCUGUGUCUAAUAUGGCACAACGCCUAUUUGCUCGAACCCGCCAAGUUGAAUCAUUGGCGGCUGAAGUGAUGAGUCUCAAACAGGAGAUUAGAGGGCUCAAGCAUGAGAAUAAACAGUUGCACCGGCUCACACAUGACUAUGCUACAAACAUGAAAAGGAAGCUUGACCAGAUGAAGGAAACUGAUGGUCAGGUUUUACUUGAUCAUCAGAGAUUUGUGGGUUUGUUCCAAAGGCAUUUAUUGCCUUCGUCUUCUGGGGCUGUACCGCGUAAUGAAGCUCCAAAUGAUCAACCUCUGAUGCCUCCUCCUUCUAGGGUUCUGUCCAGUACUGAGGCUCCAAAUGAUCCCCCUCCGGUGCCUUCUCUUUCUGGGGCUCUACCGACUGCUGAGACUUCUCCUAAGCAACCUUUGUGAAGGCUCCCUCUUGUGUGUUUAUUUUGACUCAUGUAUAUGUACAUAUUUGUAGCUUAUCGGGGAUAUCAAUAAAUAAGCUUUCCUUCAUUUCAACGUAUUGUGUUAAAUACACCAAAGCCUUCUUCGCUAAGUUCUUUGAAUUUUCUUUUGUUGAAGCUUGUAUGUUGAAGCUUUCUGAGUGGAGCAUGUAGGUUGGGGUAGUGUUCCCUUAAUUUCCCGAGUGAGGAAAACUUCUUGGUUGGAGACUUGGAAAAUCCAAGUCACUGAGUGGGAUCGGCUAUAUGAAUCUUAGAACGCCAUUGUGCUCGAUCCUGUGUCAUGUCCUUCGUUAGAUCCAAGUACUCUAAGUCUUUUCUUAGAGUCUCUUCCAAAGUUUUCCUAGGUCUUCCUCUACCCCUUCGGCCCUGAACCUCUGUCCCAUAGUCGCAUCUUCUAAUCGGAGCGUCAGUAGGCCUUCUUUGCACAUGUCCAAACCACCGUAACCGAUUUUCUCUCAUCUUUCCUUCAAUUUCGGCUACUCCUACUUUACCCCGGAUAUCCUCAUUCCUAAUCUUAUCCUUUCUCGUGUGCCCACACAUCCAACGAAGCAUCCUCAUCUCCGCUACACCCAUUUUGUGUACGUGUUGAUGUUUCACCGCCCAACAUUCUGUGCCAUACAGCAUUGCCGGCCUUAUUGCCGUCCUAUAAAAUUUUCCCUUGAGCUUCAGUGGCAUACGGCGGUCACACAACACGCCGGAUGCACUCUUCCACUUCAUCCAUCCAGCUUGUAUUCUAUGGUUGAGAUCUCCAUCUAAUUCUCCGUUCUUUUGCAAGAUAGAUCCUAGGUAACGAAAACGGUCGCUCUUUGGUAUUUCUUGAUCUCCGAUCCUCACCCCUAACUCGUUUUGGCCUCCAUUUGCACUGAACUUGCACUCCAUAUAUUCUGUCUUUGAUCGGCUGAGGCGAAGACCUUUAGAUUCCAACACUUCUCUCCAAAGGUUAAGCUUUGCAUUUACCCCUUCCUGAGUUUCAUCUAUCAACACUAUAUCGUCUGCGAAAAGCAUACACCAAGGAAUAUCAUCUUGAAUAUGUCCUGUUAACUCAUCCAUUACCAACGCAAAAAGGUAAGGACUUAAGGAUGAGCCUUAAUGUAAUCCUACAGUUAUGGGAAAGCUUUCGGUUUGUCCUUCAUGAGUUCUUACGGCGGUCUUUGCUCCUUCAUACAUAUCCUUUAUAGCUUGGAUAUAUGCUACUCGUACUCCUUUCUUCUCUAAAAUCCUCCAAAGAAUGUCUCUUGGGACCCUAUCAUACGUUUUUUCCAAAUCUAUAAAGAUCAUGUGUAAAUCCUUUUUCCCAUCUCUAUAUCUUUCCAUCAAUCUUCGUAAGAGAUAGAUUGCCUCCAUGGUUGAGCGCCCUGGCAUGAACCCGAAUUGGUUGUCCGAAACCCGUGUCUCUUGCCUCAAUCUAUGCUCAAUGACUCUCUCCCAGAGCUUCAUUGUAUGACUCAUUAGCUUAAUACCCCUAUAGUUCAUGCAAUUUUGACUACCAUUCAAUUUAAUUAUUAUAAUAAUAAUCAAACCCGCAAUGCCAUCCCUGUACAUUUAAAGGGACCAAAGUAAGGAGAGAUGUCAAUUUUAGGGACAACAUAGAUAAAUAUUGGAAUUGAGGCACCAAAACAGUCAGUCAUCGUACACUCCACUCGCUUUUCUUUUUUUUUCUUCUUCAAGAGCGGGAUGACCAUUUUGGAGUGUCGAGCCAGUACCGGCUCACUUUACUACGGAAUACACAGCAACUUAAGCGACCUAUCAUAUUCUCUUCUUCUUUUCCUUCCCUAUUCAAAUGACAUGCAGGCCAAAUGACGAGAGAGACGAGAGGAGAGAAACCGAAAAAUAGGUUCAUUUCAUAAUAAGAUUCUAAAGAUCUGGAAUUUCUACUCCUCUACAAUUAGUUACCGAAAAGUUUGAUGAAAAUUCAGGCCGGAUUUUCAGCUUGACCAUUUCAGUAAAACUAUAUUCCGGGCCGACAAUUGCAGAAUGGAAGUUUCAGUUCAGAGCAAUCCCAUCCAUGCUAUAUACAUUAUCCCAAAACAUAUUUACGCCGACCGGAUAGAUUCCAUGAAAGACGCUCUAAUAAUUAAGUUUAAAACUUUUUGACCAAAAAAAUCUCACCUCUUAGAUGUUUGACAUAAGAGUCGAGGUCUUGAAAAAUCACUUUUUCAACAUGAAAUCAUUGAUGUUGCAGCCUGAGGCAUACUCGCAGUUUGGUUGUUCUCAGAUGUUGCUGGUGAUAUGAAUCUCUCACAAUCCUUGACCCCGAUUCUUGUGAACUCCGCGACGAGCAUAGGCAGAUGGUCGGCAACAGAACCCUUGAACCGCUGUGAGCAGCUCUUGUCACCCUCAUCAACAUCUUGAACACCACCUUUGACCAGACACCCCACUUGAGCACCAUCCAUAUAUGCUUUGCAUGCCACCAGAAUGUCACGAGCACGAUUGUAGAAAUGGCCCAGGACAAGAUCCUCAAAAUGCUGCAUCCAGAUAUAAGUUAUAACUGAGACCUUAAAUGUUGCAUGACGUAGGACAGAGUAGGGCAGCGGAAUAUAGAUAGUUUAGCAGAAGCAAAAAUACAGAAAACUAAAAUUAAAACAACAGUAAAGGAUAACUGGAAGUGUGCCAAUUUUGCCUAAAGCAGCAGUUUUGGCUGCUAACUGGGCAAUAUGACAAAAUGAUUAGAAAAAAAAAUUGUCAAUAACACCAAAUAUUUUCCGCUCAUAGGUGCUAUUUGCUUGUGUAGUCGACAACAUCAACUGCUUAGUUUGUAAAAAAGCAAUUCUCUAAUUUCUGGACAGAAAUUACAAUAAACUGAUUGUAUAAUGAAUUGGCAAACAGGAUCUUUGAAGUUUUCACUCUUAUCAUUCAUUAGCAUAGAAAAUCAUUCUAAUGGAAGUGAUUUUCACACAACCCUUUUAGCUUCUCUCACACACCCUCUAUAUUUCUGGCCAUCGGAAUUGAAUAAAUCAAACUGAAACAAUGGAUAGAAUUAAAUAGGGGUAUGUGAGAGGCUUAAAUAGGGGUAUGUGAGAUGCUAAUGGGUGUGUGCUUAUCAUUUCCCUACCAAUUACUCAAAAAUGAUGCCUCUGACACUUUCUUUCUAUAUGCUCAAUACAAAAACUGCAAUGCUGCAUUUGGAUAAGUGAGUGACAAUAUUUAAAAGAUGGGCUUAUUCUCAGAAAUAGUUAAGUUUCUUGUUAUGGAGGAAGUGACAUCAAGCAUGAUGGAAUGUAAAAGAUAUGUGUCGGUGGCCAUGUGGCUGGUGGCAGUGACAGUGGGUGGUAGCAGCAGCGGUUAUGGAGGAACUGACAUCAAGGGUGAUGGGAACGAGGUGAUGAUAAUCGGUGGGGGCAGGGUUGAGGGUUGUGGCAACGUCAGCAGAAAAGUGGAGAAGUGAGUAGUUUUAGUAAUUGUGGCGGCAACAGUAGAGGUUGGGUGGUAACAGUGGAGAUGUGGUGGUGGUUGGGGUUGCUGUUGAAAUUUUGUUAAACACUAACUGUCUUGGAAUUUAGUAAAUAACAACUAUUUAUCUGGAAAUUUAAAGCCAGUGUUAAUGACCCUAAUUCCAGAUCUGUUUACAUUUUGAAUUUCAAAAUUUCCUUGAUGCCAAACAAGAAAUUACAGAUAGUCACUUCUGAAACUCUGACUUCCCCCUAAACACCUAGUUCAAUCCUAUCAUCCUAGGUUCCUAAUACACUGCAAAUUCCAGAAGGAGCGACAUGAUGAGUUUGAAAUGAAAUAAAAAAACUUCAGUGAGGAAACAGUUUUAGAAAAGAAAGGAAAAUUUUGCAUUUUCAGAAAUUCAAGAUUAUUUUUGUUUAACAUUUCAGGGAACUUAGCAUUCAUUGAUAUGUUCAGUCUGAUUAUUCUGAACGUUUCAAAAACAUUCUACUCCGUUUCAGGUAUUGAUGCACAUGAAUCAUUAUUCAAAAACUAUAACCAAAAUGCCAAGCAGAUAAUCUAAAAUGCUUCACACCAAUCUCACACUGCAAAAGGACUGAACAUAGUCCAGAGUAUCAGGAGAAUGGAGAAAGAAAAAAAAAUUUACCUUUGGAGGUUUCCUCAUGGUGUACACCAUUGUCUUUAACGAAAGGAUGAAUGUAUUCUCAUUGUACUCCUCGGACAUCUUUUCACCAGCUUCUGAACCAUUCAUACUUGCACAUCCAGGCUCAUUAAAGUAGGGUUUUGUGUUCAAGAUAAGCCCUUGUAUAGAGACCAAAACUUGUAGCAUGGUUGACACACCCGGGAGCCACUUCUCAUUCUUGUUCCCAGACCAGGUAUUAAGAAGGCUGAGGCAUACUUUUCCACAAUUGUACAAAUUUGGAUUUAAUCGAAGGCCACCAGAGUGGUAGUAAACAUUCUGCAUAACCAAGUUCCCAGUUAGGCCAAAGAUGCAAACAGAUAUAAAUCAAUUCUAAGCGUUCGAAUUAUCACACACCGGUGGUACAUUGGGAUAGCCACUGGGGAAGCAAACAUCAAAGAAGAAGAGACCAUCAUGGUAAGGAGUACCCUCCGCCCCAAUAAUUACAGCUCUCAAAAGAUCCAUUCUUGUCUCAUAAGCUCUAACAAAUAUUGUAUCUGUGGAUGUCAUUAAAAAAAGGGGUAAGUGCACCUAAGUUUCUAUAGUACAAACAACCAUCCAAAAACUAUAUCCCAUAUAUUCUCAAUUCCAACUUUCAGUGCAAAAUCAAUUAAUUACAGCAGUCAGCAUCAUGAAACAACCGGUGCAAAAAUUUGAUAAAAAUGAAUAGGCUAAGAAUGGGAAAACUUCACUACCAUUAAUUCAAAACAGUUAUUUAAAAGAAAAUUCCAAAUAAAAAAACAGAACAACUCACCAGGCAAAUCCUUCUCCAGGAUCUUCCACUCUUCCUGAAUUCUCUUUGCCCAAUUCUUUGGUGGCUUCAGAACGAGUAAAAAUAAAACAUAAUAAGAUAGGGAAUUACAAAAGAAAACAAAAUAAUUGCAUUAACUAAAUCAUCCAAAAUUUACCUGCUUUGUUGAAUAACCACGCUUAAUAUAGUGAUGGUCUGAAUGAUCUUCAACUGUAUCAAAUUGUUUGAAACCCUGAAACUUAAGUAUAAUUUCAUCCAUUUCCAUGGCAGAAAUUUUCCUCCCAGGGCUUGUUGAAAUGCCUCCUGGAACAAGAUUAUUCUGAAUUUGCGCAUUAGGAAUCCAAGGACUACCUGCUACUUCCCCAGGAGGAUAUGCUGAACCCAAUGGAUCGUAGAAGCUUGAAUUAAAUGGCAUGGUAUUAAAUUUGGAAAUGGGCCCAGGCCACCCAGGAACGGGCAUGGGUUUAAAAGAAGCACUUGAACCCUUUUUCUUUAGAAUGUUAUGAAAAUACGAUGCAGAAGAUGUGUCAGCUUCGGAACCAAGCUUCAUUGCAUCAAAGUGAUUCGUUGAACCAUUUGAAGAAGCUAGCUUCUUUUUGGGCUGGAGUCCUAAAAGCCAUUGAGACUUUGAUGACUCUUUACCAACUGGGAAAUUAGGAGCACUCCCUUGAUGUUGCAAAGCAGGUUGUUUCUUUUUACCCCUGGCAGUUUUUGGAAGUUUCCAUGCUGAUGAUAGAUUCACUUCAGGUGGGUGGGCAGUACUAUCAAUUUGGGUCUUCAAGCUUGAACUACCCCUAAAAAGUGGCUUCUUGCUGAAAUGAUCAGGCUCUGGUUGCAUUUGAAAUGUCUUAUCGACAGAAAUAAUUCCAGAAAUUGAUUUAACUUUACUUUUAGAAGGAUCAGACAACCAAGGAAUAGGUGCCUCUAUUCCAGGGGGGAUAUCCACAUUAUCAAAAUGGGCUUGCAAUUGGGCAUACUCAUCGACGUCCAUAAACUCAUCAAGAAAAAAUCAGCAAAGUCGUCAUCUUCAUAUGAUAAAUCAGAAGUAUGACCAUCUAAGUUGAUCACGUUAGCUGGGACAAAACUCUUAGCAGCUUCAAUCCCAUUCGCUGACCCAGGGGUUGUCAUACCAGGAGGGCCAAAAUAGCUAUUGACCUCAGCUUCCUGAAAAUACUAGUAAUAUCAUAAUGCAAAUAUGUUAAGAAUGCUAAAGCUACAAUUGAAUAUUUAUCAUUCAACAAAAUGACAACAGCCAUAGAGUGUCAUUCAAGUCAAUAAUACACCUUAUCUUGAUGAUCAUGGUAGCCAUCUGAAGAGCUUCUUAUUGCCUUCCCUUUGCCACUUCUAUCAACUCUAUCAUCGAUAAUCAUUGCAGCGACUGGAUCUUCAUCUUCGUCAAUUUCAAUCACAUCAUACUGAAGAACCUAAAAAGGAUUAACCACAACACAUACCUGUUCAGACUGACUGAAUUCCAACCAAUGCCAGAAAACAACAAUUCAAAAAAAAAAAAAAAAAAACAAACAAACAAACAAACAAACAAAGGCAUCCUACAAAAAUGUUACCAAUUAGUUGCAAAAUACAAAUGAGGAACAAAAACUUUGGAUGGAAUAGGGGUUAUAAGCACAAAAGUAGGACAUGAAAACCUCUUCACAAAGUAUGAGAACCACAUUCAAUUGAAAACUGAAAUGCUUGAUUUUAAUUCUGUAACCAUCACCAAGCUUGAACACUAUAUAGCAACAGAUGUAUUCAAUUCUUAUAAAUCUAUAUUUAUACGAUUAUAACCAGUAAAAGUCAUCGAAUAAAACGGAAAAAGGCAAUGCCUGCAAAGGCACACCUUCAUCGGGCCCAGAAAAACAUAGAUGAUGGUUACAGUAAACCCGGCGCCAUGCAUGCGAUCAUGGGAAGGAAAUUGAACAAAAGGCAAACUGAUAACGCGGAACGGAAGCUCAAUGUCCUCAUUAUACACAGGACUGCCAAUAAAUUGUUCAAAAUUGUAAACAACAACGGGUGCAGUGAAUGAGCUUGUGACAAUGCUUUAGCAAUACCCCAAAAAACUUCAAUCUUUCAGGAAAUUAGGAACAAAUGAAUACCAUAACCAAACAAAUUGCUAAAAAUCCCUAGAACAAAAUUAACUAAAAAUUUGAAAAAUUGGGCAAUUAAGUGCCAAGAUUUUAUACCAAUGUUCCAAUCAACUCGUAUUAGCCCGAAAUCAAAUGGACCAAAAAAUCCAAAAUUGAAUUGUGAUCAGUGAUCAAGACGGUAACUUGAUCAAUCAAAGCAGAUUACCAGCUCCCAAAAAUACUAAUCUCAUCACAAGUGCAUGAUCGAACCAGGUAAAUCACAAGAACCAUCGAAGAUUGAGUUAUCGAUUGAUCAAACGACAGAGAAAUCGUACCUCUUUGAGUUUGAGCUUCUGAAAUUUCGGGGCCCGGGUAAUCGGAGUAGCCGGAGGCGAAAUCUCUACGACGUCCUCGGAAUCCAUGCACCCAGAACCGCUAUCGGAAGACAAACGCUUCUUCCUGUUUGGAGCGAGAGAAAAUUAGAGAAAAUAGAGAGAGAGAGAGAGAGAGUUUUGUUCUUUUGAAAAUUGAGUGAGAGUAAGUACUUGGAAUUCCGAGGUGUUUUUAUAUGUAACGGCGGCGGCUCCAUUGGGAGCGGCUGUUCUGACUUGAAGUCGGUUUUGUUUUAGAUGCAAAAGCAAAAGGGCAACCAAAUAAAAGGGGUUUCAGCGGCUGAGAAACCGGCGGCGGCUCGGAGGCUCAGCGGCUGGGUUUUGGCAGAAUGGGUUCGCGCCUUGUCAAGGAAGAUCAACAUAAAUUACGACGACGACGACCAAAAGAGUGUGUUUGUGUGUGCGUGAGUGGGAGUGUUCCCUUUCCUAUCAUAUUACACGUUUUGCGCCUCGAAUUACCAUUUAUACCCCUGCUUCCUCCACACACAAACCACAGCCUUUGGGCUGUUUUUGGAGAAGUAAAAUGACAGCGUUUGAUUCAAUAAAAUAAUGUCAUGCGAAUUAGGUUAACGUAUUUUAUUAUUUUAUGCAUCAUAUGGUAUAUACGAUUCAUUUAAAACAAUCUAAUAACUUCUCACUUAAUUCUACGUUCUAGUAAUUUUUUUUAUUUACUCGUAAAUAAGAUAUCUUAAAUUUAAAUCAAAUUAUUAUGACUAGUCUAUUGUAAGGUUUAGCUGACUUUCUUACUCGUUAGUGUAGCUAAUAUCGUAUUGUAUUAAAAAAUUGCUUUCUUGACUUCAGCUUUCCAAUUCUUCUUUAGUACCUAGAACACCAUUUGCAGUUGUACAAAGGCAUUAAAUUUGAUUAUGGCUCGUUUGGUAGUAGCUUUAAAAUUAUUGAAAUGUUUUUAGAAAAUGUUUUUUUUUUGUUCUAAAAACACUUGAAUUGUUUUCUAUAAGAAGUAACAAUUAUGUAUUUUUUGCAGCAAACGCUUCAAGUAAUUUUUGAAAAUCUUUUUGCAUUUUGAGCAAAUAUUGAUUUUGAAAAUAUUUUUCACUCGUACGCUUCCAUACAAGUUCUCAAUAAUUUUAAAUUGACGAUCGAUAUCGGUUAAUUUGAUCUUAGGCCCAAAAAUACGCAAAUGUACACAGGUACAGAAGAAAAAAGGGUAUUUGGCUCGUGCGCCUUCUGGUUGUUCUUCCUGUUGUGUCACAUCACCUAUUGUGGGAAAAAAACAAAAAUCAACUUGGGCUGCACGUCUCUUCUACUGCGAAUGGGAAUUUGACAUUUGACAGUGAGGCUGGUUCACGUGUUGACGUGGCGGCUUCUCAGCCCUUUUGGAAUGACAACAUCACCAUUCUCCAAGCAACUGUCAUCUGGCUAUUGCAAUUGGUAACCCUUUUUUCAAGGAGGGAGGUGGAUUGUCUACCCUUCUAUUUCUAUACUUUUCUCAUUCAUUUUUGUUUGUGUGAUCACGGUUAAGUCACGUUAAUAUUUUAUAUUGAUUAUUUUUAUAAAAAUAAUAAAACAAAAAGUAAUAAGAAUAUAAAAUGUUGACGUGGCUUAACUGUGAUCAUACAAAACAGAAGGGAAUGAGAAGAGUAUGGAAAUGAGAGGGCAAACAACACACCUCCUUUCUCAAGCGCAUCAUCAUUCACAGUUUGAGGAUAAUCUUUUGGUCUUGCUUAAUAUAUCCUAAAGACUCUUCCACCUGUUUGUUUGCUUAAUAAAUCUUGUGAGGUUUUCAUUUUCCAUUGGGAUGGUAACAUACGAGUAUAUUCUUUCUUUAUUAAGGGAUGAUUAUGUUGUUCAUAAAAUUCCCACUACACCUAUUCAACCCAACACUUAUAUGAGCACCACAUCCAAUCCUCAUCUCUCCUCUUGUUCUUUUAAUCGUAUCAUUUCGCUUAUCUACGGAUUGAAACCCUUCUUUAGCACAAGAAAAGAUUCUUGAAGUGAAUUCACCAAUCUUUUUAUUAUUGCUGCUAUUUUCUCUUCGAAUACUAAACCUCAUAAUUCAACCAUACUUGUUCUAGAAAUCACAUGUUGUUUGUUUAAUUUCAAACUCCAUAUUUUCUGUAGGUUUCAAAUUCAAAGUAUAUUUUACGCCAUGAUAUGGUUUUUCCAUUAUAACAUUUACUAUCGAAUUCUACCACAAAAAUAUACCAAGAUUCAGAUAAUUUGAGCAAAAAAAGCAUAAAUUUUCAACAACGACAAAUAAAUUUUUACUUAUAAAACAUAUUUGAUACCUAAACAUAAACAUGCAUCAAAUCCAAUCUAAUCACUGAAAUAUCAUAAAAAAAAAAAAAAAACUCAAUAAUGGAAGACUGACCUUUCGUCAUUAAAGACCAAAGGCAAACGCUUAUCGACCAACGCUAAACGAUGAUAUUUUUUUUUCGUCCGAAAUUCCGGAGGAAGGAGAUGUGGGAACUGGCUCUAGAGGAGAAGGAGUGAAAAUGUAGAGAAUAGUGAAAAUUCAAAAGUACCUUCUAUGCCACCAUUUGGCUUAUCCAUUAUACUCGUUAAAAAAAAUAUAUUUUACAUCGAUAAAUAAUCAAAUGAAAAUGUAAUACUAAAUUAGUAUUUGCAUACUACAUUGUCACAUAAAUUUUACUUUAAACAUAAAAACAUAUUUGUCUUUCAAGUAUUAUAUAUUCCAAAAUAAUAGUCUAAUUAAAAAAUAUUACAUAAGUGAGAUUAUUCCUAUGUUAUUGUUGUAGUAAGGUUUUUUUUUUUUUUUUUGAUAGUUUGUUAAUUAAUGGAGAAGUGUGAAAAAUUAAAAGAAAAUAUUCAAAUGCUCGUAAAAACAAGGUCUACAACUUUUGUGAAGAGGUCAACUCUGAAAUUCGCCACCAUAGUCCUAUAAACCAUAGAUUUAAAUUUAAUGUUGUUUACGUUUGCGCUCCAUUCUUCUCACCAAAUUUUAUUUUUCAAAUUUUGUUUUUUGAAAACAUGAACUUUUAAGGGAUGCCGAAAGAUGAAUGGUUCGGAUUAUUAAUAUCACAUUUAGAUUUUUAUGGUUAGUAAGAAUAUUACUUAGAAUUUCUGAAGUCCAUCUACACAACAUCAACUCAUAUUCAAGAAACUAAAGGUAAGCUUCCAUAUUCAAGAAAACUACUUUUUGAUCAAAUUACUUGUCAGCUAUAUAGCGCCAUGCUCAUUGAUAUUGUAUUGGAUGUGGAUACAGUUUCUGAUACUUUUCCAAUAUUUUGUAAGUCUAACUUUUGAGUAUGGAAGAGGGCAUACUAUCCUAAUUAAUUUGGAUUGAAUAAGUAGUUUGGCACUUUUCUCCUAUUUCUCUUUGGGAACUCCAAUACCAGAUUCAGAAUCAUCCCACCAGUUUCAAGCUUCAGUCGCCAUCUCUUGCUCGAGGCAGGCGAUAGCCCACUACUCCUUUUUUUUCCUCCUCCUUCCCUCCUCUCUUCUUUACCCUUUCCUUCUUUUCCUCCCCUCUCAUCUCCUGAGCCCCUUCCCUCUCCCUACAUCCACCUCAUCUUCCUUCCCCCUUUCUAGUCUCGUUCCUUCAUUUUCAUUCUCGUUCUUCCCUAACUUCCCCUCCCCCAACCGGCAUGCCAGAUCCCAAUCGAGGCCAAGUGUUGGAUAUUUUACAUACCCCUUAGCCUCACUCUCUACCCAUAAGAUACCUUGUUCGUAUAUAUUUGUAAGGGUUCGUGAAGGGUAUUUGGUUCUGGUGUCUACUCUCUUGGUUGGAGUUUGGCUUCCUCCGAGGAUGUGACGGCAUCAGUGGUGUGGUUUACGCUGCUGGAGAUUAAGGUUUUUUGUUGUUUGUUUUUGCAACCAUCAGGUCUAAGUUUGUGUGGGCCUCCUUUUGUAUCUUUGGUUGCAGCUCUCAUUUUGCUUGGACCAUUUACUUUAUCUGGUUCUUUUUGGACCUUGUAAUAGAUUUUAGGGUAAAUUACACAAAACUACCUCAAUUAUGGGUCGAACGACACUAUCAUACCUCAUCUUUUAAAAAUGACAAUGUCAUACCUCAUCUUACGAAUUUGUUCCAAUGUCAAACCUUCGUCAAUUUUUCUGUUAAUUUUUCUGUUAAGUGCUGACGUAGCUAGAGACGGGACCUAUUCACUAAUCUAACUAGAUUAAAAAAUAAUUACAUAUAUUUUAAUAAUUAAAUAUUCAAAAAUAAAAAAUGAAAAAAAUAUAUAAAAUAGUGGGAUCCACCCUCUCUCUCUGGGCACCUGCAUCCCCAAAAUCUCAAAACCCAAAAACCCUUCCCCGUCAUCCCCCCCCCAACCUUCCUCCACCACCCUCUCUCUUUCCCUAUCUCUCUCUCUCUCUCUCUCUCUCUCUCUCUCUCUCUCUCUCUCUCUCUCCUCUCUUUCUGGGCAACCUACAUCCCUAAAACCUAGAAUCCCAUUACAAAUCUCAAAACCCAAAAUCUCAUCAAACCUCCCAAAGCUCACAAAAGGGGUGGGGAGAAAUGAAUGGCUCUGGCGGGCUCGGGUGGGGAGAAGGGAGUGGGGAAGACAAACUUUUUUUUUAUGACUUUUCUGCUCAGAUCGAGGGCCGAUUUCGACUGCAGUGUCAUCCUCGGUGCCUCCUCCGUCACCCACAAUGGGUUAUGCGCCACCAACAACGCCGCCAUGGCUGACGACGUUGUUGAGCUAUAUAUUUUCACAAACAAAAUAUAUUAGCAAGUCUUAAUAAAAAUGGGGAGACUUCAAAAUAAUAAUAGUAAUAAUAAUAGAGUCCAAAAUAUGGACUGACAAGAAAUAAGGCUCACUUUAUGUGUGUAUGUGCAUAUAUUCUUAUAUAUACUAUAUUUUAUAUAUAAGAAAUAAAGAGAGGGAAAAACAACUCUACACCCGCACACGUGGACCACAGCGUACACCAAGUAUGAAGGAGUUCGUCAUCUACAUGGCAACCAAGUAUAGAGAACGUGUGUAUCUAGAACCCUCUAAAACUCCCACGUUCUCCACUCAAGAGAUGGUUUUCUCUCAGCAUCUCCACACCCCAGGAAAGUUGCAUCCCACUAACUUCAACUACCAUGUCCACUGUUCGCCUAUAAAAAGGCAUCGAACCAAAGCAAAGAGGACAGAAGACACAGAAAGAAGAAGAGAGACUUUGCAGAAAUUGAAGCACACGGAGGACGAAAGAAAAGGAAGGGUAGAGUGACAAGAAAACGUUGCAGAAAUUGAGAAGCACAAGAGGAAGGAAAUCGACAAAAAAAAGACAGGCAGCAAAAGAAAGCGAAAAGGAACAGCAACAAGAAGCCAAAUAUAGAGAAGAAAGCUUAAAAAUGUAUUUUCAUUCUCUUAAUGGAUUCAUGAUUUUUAUUAGGAGGUUGUUAUAGUCUUUUGCAGAAAAAAAUGGGGGAGGUUUCCUUUUCUUCUUGUUUGACCGAAGCAAAGAAGAUGUUGGUGGAAACAUGCACCACCAACAAUUCACACCGACCCCCCCAAACCUGUCAUUGGGCUUGCUUCUUCUUCUUCUCCACCAACGGAGACAUUUGCCGUCUUUUUCGCCAAUAGCAGCAAAGAAACCAUCGUCUCUGUCACAAACAGCGGUCAUGCAGUGACUUCUAUGCCCAGCAAGUUCGUCUGUGCCGCUGCCGUCAAUCCCAUGAAUUUCUUCGGGGUGGUUUAAACCAUCCUGUGAAGUUCCAAUCAAAUCUAAGUGCUCCGUGCCGCGGCAGUUAGUCCCAUGAAUUUCUUCGGGGUGGUCUAAACCACCCCAUGAAGUUCCAAUCAAACCUGAAAGCUCCGUGAGAGUCCCAACGCCAUGCUCUGUCUUCUCAAAGUUGAAGAUGUCGAACACUGCAGCAACAAACACAGACAUGGAAAAGCAACAAAAAGCAUGGACCAACGGCAACGAAAUCAGCCGAAGUCUUCCUGCGUUACAAAGGGUGUCAGAAUGACGCCGACUUCAAGCACCAGCGGGAAUGAAGAUUGCUCUCAGGUCAUUAACGGAAGAGAGAACACAAAGGGUUCCUCAGGAAUCUAGAAGGUUUGCAAAGGAAAAGUAAAGACUUAUUUCCAUAUGGAAGCAAAGACUUGCUGUGCUGUUGUGCAAAGAGAAAAGUUGACAACAAAGUGACGGGCAUGAAGACAAAAUGAGAUGGGUUUCAAUACAAAGUAAAGGAAGGCAAAUAAAAGAAAGAAAAGUUGUUCAUCACGUGGGAGUCUAGGACUCACCCUAAAUGCACUAGGCUUUGAUUAUUAAAGGAAAAGACAUGGGAUAAAAGAGUUCCACCCAAAGCUUUUUGUGCCAGGAAUUUGAAAGAUAAGGGAAAAAUGGAGAUUGCAAAGUCUGCAAAAGAAAGCUACGGUAGAGAAGAAGAGAAAGAAAUUGGUCUUCUAAACCAUGCACGUGGUCACUUAAAAAUGGGCAGUUGUCUUCCAUGCAAUUCAAAAUAAAUGGAAAGCUAAAAUAUGGUUUUCCUUUUCAAACACCACCACCUGAAGCUCUAUUUGGGACUUAGAAAAUGGGAAGUCUUCAAAUAGAAGAAGAAAGAAGCUUGCUGCAAAACAAAAUCUCUCCAAGUUAAGUGGAAAUGCUGCCCACGUGGAGAACAAACAAAAGUCACGGCUCCUUAUCUAAAUUAUGGGUUUUGUAAACUUGGAACGUUAAUCAAAAGCAUGUAGACAAAAGCUACAAGCCAAAAGUAAAGGAAAGAGUUUAAAAUUCAAAAGAAAAGAAGACAUGUUCAUCCAUGCAUUAGAAGACAAACAAAGAGACGGAAACAAGAGGGGAGGCUCUGCAGAAAUUGAGAAGAACACGCAUAAGAACGGACGGCAAAGAAGAACAUAGCAAUAAAAAAAAACAAGGGAGAAACAUAAAGAAAAAGAAACAGCAAAGAGCAGCAAGGUAUAAAUUUAUUUUAAAUUGUUCUUUGUUGUUUUCUUUCCUCUCGACUUUUGCAGGAGAGAAAGAAGCAAAUUUGCUUGCUUCUUCAUCUUUCACCAAAGCCAAAAAUGGAGACUAAGCCUACCGGCUCACCAUAGCAGCAACAACAAAUAGUCGAGAGAAGUUCUGAGAAUAGAACCGACCUUCCUUCCUCGCCACACGCUGCAACAGUCGUCGAACACCAACACAUCCACAAUACCGACGACAACAUUGCAGCAUCCAUGCCAUUCCCGUAACCGAUCUCUGAUCCGCGAGUUCGCUCCCGCAACAGCCUUUCCUUCUUUGCAUAACGUUGCAGCAACCGCCGACGUCAGACGGAAGCCUAAACGGAAGUAGCAAUCGUGCCAUGUCUCUAACCGUUGUUCCCGGUGGUUUUCCAUAUGGAGUUCAUGCAUUAUGCGGCUUGAAAGAGACGGGUUUGGUGAUGCCGUGUUGCAUAAAGCCAGAAGAACCCGAAGGAAUGCACGUCAAUGGAGGAAUGGAUCAACAACCACCGCUGUCAUAUUGCCUACACCUUAUCAGACACCUCAAAGUCGUUAAAACUCGCACCCCAAACCGCCAAUCUCCAGCAGCCACGACUGCAACAAUUCCGUCUCCCUCUCUGCCCAGUGGUGAUGCUCCGUUCCUCGGCAAAAAGCUCUUAGAGAGCAAGGAGAGUAACGGAGGAUAGAACACAAAGGGCUGCUCAGGCAGCUAGAAAGUUUGCAAAGGAAAAGAUGGUUUGUAAAGGAAAAGUAAGUAAAAUUAACAGAUUCUGCAAGACAAAAGGGAAAAGAAAGAUAACGUAUUGUUCAAGAGUUCCACCAAAGUCUUUUUGAGCUAAGAAUUCGAAGGAGAAGGAAAAAAUGGAGAUUGUAAAGUAUGCGAAAAGAAAGCUACGACAGGGAAUAAAAAAAGGAAGUUGUCUUCAAAGUUGCUGGGAAAUUUGACACAAACACAAAGAAAAUGUGAGAUGGAAAUGGAUUGAUAGAAGCUCCAAGUCAAAAGUAAAGGAAAUAAGUAAGUUUUCAUCAAGAAAAGUUUUGUGCAGUACUCGAGACGACGAUACUAUAACACUUUGAAGUGCCGGCUUCGCAACUUUAAUAGUUCAUCUUUCUUAUUCCACCUACUCCUACCUCUCAGAAAGAGAGAUGUAUCGCAGCAAAACCCAAACAACCCAAGUCAUUUAAGAGCUCUGCUUCUGAAAAAUCGAAGAAGUCUUCUGCUUGAGAAAUGUGAAAAAAAAAAGCAAGAUGGGUGACUGCUUUUAUUCCAAUUUCAAGUAUGUUUCUCUACACAAGGAAGGAAAAGUAUAUACAAUGAGUUUAAAAAAACUCUAAAGGAAGAAAAGUGUUCCAGAUACCUUUACAAAGCUGAGUAUGACUUGGUUUUUUCUAAAUGCCACGUGAAGUUCUACUUGGACUUAGAAAUCCAAAUCUACAAGGAAAAGAAAUGGGACUACAAGGAAAAGAAAUGGAAAGCCUGCAAUGUUCAUAAAUUAAUUAGGAAUUGAUGCUUAUGUGGAAACCAAAAGGAAGGAAAUAAGUCAUUUCAAAGACUUUGCCUCAAAAAAGAAACAAGUGUCGGUAUUUAAUUCGUAAUUAGACUUCUCAAAAGUCUCGGAUCCCAAACAAAGAAAUGGAGAAAGGAAAAAAGGUACAGCAAAAGAAGAAAACAAACUUGAUGUGCCAAUCACAUGGGCACUACGAACAUGAUCCCUUUCUAUCAAAAUGUUGUGCAUAAAUCAAGAAGCAUGACAACAAAAUGGCAAAGGCACCAUGAUAAGACAAAUCCAAACUAACCCGUUGUCAAGUACAAAUACAAAUGGAUGAAGAGAAGACGUCGAUCGCUUCAAAAUUCGUGGACACAAGCCUUCUCAAAAUGCAAAACUCGAUGGGCGUAUCACCUCAAAUUAGUGGAUUUGCAUUACGUUAAAAAUGAAUCAAGCUACUGUUAAAAUUCUUGAAGUAGUCAAAUGGCACGAAGCCACGAAAAAUGUCAAAUGAAAAAUCAAAUAUCAAAUGGCACAAAGCCACUUUAAAUGGCACAAAGCCGCAUCAAAUCUCAAAUGGCACAAAGCCCCAUCAAAUCUCAACAAAAUUAUGAACUACGCUGGUUUGAUUCCGUUAAGGAUACGUAGGCAGUCUGAUAUCAAUUUUUCAGACGCAACCAUGAAAUCAAGUUUAUGAACUACGCUGGUUUGAUUCCGUUAAGGAUACGUAGGCAGUCUGAUAUCAAUUUUUCAGACGCAACCAUGAAAUCAAGUUAAUGAACUACGCCGGUUUGAUUCCGUUAAGGAUACGUAGGCAGUCUGAUAUCAAAAUUUUAGACGCAACCGUGAAAGCAAGACGAAUCCCUAGUUUAUAUAAACUAAAUUCACUUCUACUACUCUACCCAAGGAAUUACAAAUUCUACAAAGAGUAAAGUCGAAGAGUCAAGUAUCAAAAGGCACGAAGCCGCAACAAAUUUCAAUGGCAUGAAGCCGUAUCAAGUAUCAAAAGGGCACGAAGCCGUAACAAGACUUAAAUAGCACGAAGCCACAUUACGCUCCUUGCCUGCACGAGCUGAAACUGCACAAGGCAUCAAAUCUCAACAAAUACAUGAACUACGAGUGACUUGAUCCCUCAAGAGGGUACGUAGGCAAUCUAGGAUUCAACCUAGGUACAGUCACAAAAUCAAACAAACACCAAAGUCCUCAAGUUACAUUUUUAUUCGAAUUGGAAUCAAAGGGUAUUCCUUUCCCAAAAGAAGGGCUGUAAUUAAUAGGCGCGUAGCCUAGAAUGGGUCGAACUCGAAUUAAUAAAACCCUCUUCGGAAAAAUGAACGAGGGUGAAAUUGUGUCGAGUGAAUUAUUUGUUUACAUAUUAUGUACAAUUUUUGCUCAACAGACGCUGCACAUGAGAGAGAGGAGAGAGAUAGGAUGGUGGAUGAAGGUUGGGGGGGACGGAUGGGAAGGGUUUCUAGGUUUUGGGAUUUUGGGGAUGCAGGUGCCCAAAGAAACAAAAGAGAGUGGCAAGAGAGAGAUGAGAAAGGGUGGCCAUAAAGAGUUAGUUUCUUCAAAUUUGGUUCUACAUCUGCCAAGUUUAAGCGGUUGGCUGAGGAGAGAGAUGAAAUGUCACGAUCUGUGGCCUCAAGCGGCCAUGGCUUUAAAGAACGAAUCCAUGGGGUUUUUCUAAGAAAAUUGAUUAGGUUUCAUUCAUGAAAAUGGGCAAAUAAUGGAUUAGAAACCCAAUGAACAUGGCUCUUUUUGCGUGGAUUGCCUGUGUUGCUGUUUCGGGUGCAUUUUGUUUCUUGUCAUGACUGCAAUACCAAGAAGUCCCAGAGAGAUGCAUGGUUUGAAGUGUUUCUGGGUUUUGGGAUUUUUUUUGGGGGGGGGGGGGAGGGGGGCCCAGGAAGGCGAGAGAGAGAGAGAGAGGUGGAUCCCACAAUUUCAUAUAAAAAUAUAAUUUUAAUUUUGUAAUAUUUAAUUAUUUUUUAAUCCAGUUGGAUUAAUGAGUGGGUCCGUCUCUAGCUACGUCAACAUUUAACAAAGAAAUUAACAGAAAAACUGACGGAAGUCUGACAUUGGAACAAAUUCAUAAAAUAAGGUAUGACAUUGUCAUUUUUUAAAAAUGAGGUAUGAUAUUAUCAUUCGACCCAUAAUUGAGGUAGUUUUAUGUAAUUAAAUUAUCUUGACCGAAAAAUAAAAUUAAAAAAAAAAAAAACCUUUUGUGGAACUGUAUCGAUUUUUAUUGGCCUGUGUCAGAUGCCUUAUAACCUGAACCAUAUAGACUCUUCACUGGCAUACUGAUAUCACUUCACUGGUGAUGGUAUAAGGCUAAUGGAUAACUGAAAAUGUUGGAUAAAUUUUAGGAAACACCGUUUGAUUGGAGAUGUUUCAUAGUUGUAUGACUAUUAUCAAUAUUAUCAUCACGAAAUGUGCCCCAAUCUAUUAAGGAGUUUGAGUAUCAGCAUAAUAAUCAUCUCGUGUUUAUGUUCAUACUUAACUCUUAAUAUGUCUUUAGCCUAACAUUUUUUAUGUUCAAAUUUACAUUGGUUCAGGUAGAAGAAAUUAACCCUACGAAGAAGCGGAGGUUUGAAGCUGAGCUCAUUCUUUAUCUCUAAGUUUUGAAAUGGGGAACAAUUUAACAUUACUGCUCAUGGGAUCCAAACGAUUUUUGAGGUGGCAUUUUUGUAGCCCAAAAGCCAGAGACUUUCUUCUAAAAAGCAAGCAUACGUUGCUUCGAAGUUUGGCUCACUUUUGUAAGUUCAACGGUGUACAAGUUUUCAUUUUCCUUACGUUGUUUGAAAUUAGAAUUGUACAUUCUUUGUUGUAUUAUCUAUACAAUUAUUAAGAGAUCCUCUUUGUCGACUAUCAACUGUGAAAUCCCAAGGGUCCUGAGAAAAAAGUACGAAAAUAAUGGGCAAAGGUAAUAUAUUCUGAGAAAUUUACACCAAAUGCAGGACCUUAUUAGUACAAAAUCUUAAUCUAGAGACAAUUUACAGACUUUUCAACUAACAAAGCAACACAAAACAAAUGAAACGAUCUUUUUGCUCUUGUGAGUACAGAAACUAGCCAUCUAUUUAUUCGUUUCAAUUAUCUUUAAACUCUAUGGCAUGAAACCUUUGAAUAUUCAGCCAUAUCCACAAGUUGAACAAACACAUUUCACUCCGUGGGAGCAUUUCUUAUCGCACUUGCCGCAUCGUUUCAAGCUAUCUAUUUAUUCAUUUCAAUUUAAUUAUUGUUAUUACUCUAUCUAAGUUAAUCUGGUUGGUGUUAGAAACUGUCACGAGUUACCAAUUUGACUUGCUUCAGGAGCGUGAGAAGAAGGCAAAGAAGAAGUCAUCAUCUGCAACCAAGCCCAAUUCCAAGGAACCAAUAGAACCUAUUGCUGCGGUUGCAGAACCAGGAAAGGUAAUUGAAAAAGGUUGAAGCUUCUGUUCCGGCAAAGGCGAAGGCACAAAAGGAUAAUUUCUGAAGAACAGAGGUCGAGCAAGAGGUUCAGACGCACUACCAAAGGACAUCCUGAAGAGGAAAAAUUCGAGUACCAACUAUUAGCUAUGGGCUGCUUCUGCUGCUGUGUGUGUUGUGUUGUUUCUAGUGCUGGGUUACUACUAUGUUCUUUGAGGAAGGUAAGAUGGAACCGACCGAGGUAGAGAAGGGUCGAGAACUACAAUUUUCUGCAUGAUAGGCGUCCGAUAACGACUAGGUCUAUCUGUUUAGUUAAACUAAGUUAUUUCUGUUCAUUACAUCCUUCUGUGGAUGGACUCAAAAUUCAUAUUGUUGGUGGUAGUUCAGUGGCCAAUCCAGGAUUUUAAAUUCGGAAGGUCCUAUUAAUAAAGGUAAAAAAAAAAUUAUAGACAAAAUUAACAUUGAAAAGUUAAAUAUAAUACAUUUCAUUCAAAAAUCAUACGCAAAACAGCAUUACAAACUAUAAAAUCUUAAUUUGAGCGUCCACGAUGAGGUUUCAUAGUCUGAAAAUGUUCUAUGAUAGCUUCAUUACCAAUACAUAAAAAAAACAUAUUUCUCAAUAUAAAUAACUAAGUUGUCACUCAACCAUCUUUCUCAAUGAACAAAUAGAUGAUGCUAUUGGCUUUGGCUUGAAAAAUCUCUCCAUAUUUUUUAUUUCUAAACUACACAUUUAACAAAAAAAAAACACAAAACAUAUACCAAUUGUUAAAAAGGUCCUAUUUUCUUUCUUAUCCGCUUGCGGUCUAGGCGGAUUUAAGUAAAUUUAUUAUAUACCUUUAGUAUUUUGGUGAAUUUAAGGUAUAAGAUAAAAGUUUAAAUAAUUACAAGUUCAUAGUAAUUUACAUAAUACUUUUAGAGAUCAUAUUGAUUUAUAUUGAAUUUUAAGACAAAUAAGUGUGUUAAAUAUGUGGGUGUAGAAAGCAAAAUGAGGCAUUGGACGCAUAAAAAGGGCAGCCACACCAAUUAACAAAAAUACACCUAGGGACUGACAACCCAUUUUCUUUUUUGGAAAGAUCAACUUGAUGCUAGCUGUCCAAACGUGAUUGGACCAAUUAAAAAAUACAUUAAAUGGGAAAGUUUGAGGGUGGUCAUGUGGGAAAGGAUGAGAGAGACUCAUUUAAUCAUCUUUCCUCCUUUCGUCUUCCCAAGAACAGAACCACCAAACCCAAAAAUUACAUAACACACCUCAUGUACGAGUACGAGGGGUCCCCGAAAAAUUUCUAGCAGCAAUUUAGGGUCGUCGAGGGGUCCUGGGACCUCCCAGGUCCCUCUGUAUAUCCGCCACUGUGGUAGUCCAAACUCUCUUUCAAUGGAGAAGAAGAAACACACAUUUGGUUUUCUUUAUGUCAUUUCAAAUUUCAAAAUUUAUCCCUUUUUCACGGAUGUUAUCUUAAAGAAUAUCCUGGUUCUGUUAUUUUUCAAGCAAUUAUGAGUUUUAAUGUCAUCUGCAAUUCUUUGGGACCAUUGGAUAACUAUUUCAUUUUGGGGAGUGAUUGAUUUUUACACUCUCUGUUUUACCUCUUUGCAUUCCUUUAUUUAGAACAAUAAUGGGAAAUCUUUAUGUAUAAUAACAAUCCUUUAUCCAGUGCUUAACUACAUUGACAGAAAGUAAUCAUGCCUUUACACAUUGGUUUGGAUUUCUUGACCAAUUCUCCUUCCUCCUAGCAACUAAGUAUCUAAUCCACUAAUGUUAUCAUUCUCAUAAUAAAAAGAACAAUACUUGGCUACUCAAAUGAUGAGUAGGAAUUCCUACUCAAAAUAUCCGUUGCCGAUUUAUAUAACUUUGUUUUUAUGAUCAAAACCGUUCAUAUUAUAAAUCACCUUAUAAAGAUUGUCUCUUAAAAAAUCAAUUAAAAUUAAAGUUGUUUAGUCAUUGAAAGGUUCUGAAAUAUCUCUUUGAAGUAUGGAAGGUUUCUAAAAUUUCUUUUUGUGUUGUAAACACGAAAAUUCUGUAUCGAAUGAAACAAGAACACGUGUACAAAGUAGAUUGGUAUUGAUUUGAAUUUGUAGGUUACAAUCUCUUUUUACAACUUUUUCUCUAAUUCAAUCUUCAAAUUUGAUGUAAAUGGUUGAUUGUUGAUCCAAGGAUCGCUAUGACUUGAUCUUGGACAAACGAUUGAACGAUUGCGUCAAGUUUUGAGCUUGAAACAAUGUGUGGAUGGUCUCCACCUCUAGGUGCAACAAAGAUGAUGUUGAUGUAGAAUUUUGUUGACUUGAUCUUGAAACGAACGUUUGCUACAAGUUUUGAGCUUGCAACAAAGCCUUGAAGGAAUCAGCACGAGUGCUUGUUGAUUCUUCAAGUGAGUGCUUCAACUUUGGUCGACAUAAAGUUUCAGCUUUAGUUGAAUAUUCUUAGAAGAGAGCUUUGGUAGCGUAUUAGUCUUCAAAGAUUUGGCAGAGGUUCUUCUGAAUGUAGAAUUUUCGACCCUUAUGCUUAUGGGAGGACCUUGUAUUUAUAGGUCUCUCAAGGCUUGUCUUUGGGUUGAUUUGACUUUGAUUUAUAUCCUAAUUUGUCCAUGGGAGAAUUUAGGGAUGUUUUGUGUCUUAAUUUCAACCAUCUUUACUCCGUUGGCUGAAUUAUAAGGUCUUUGUUUCCUAUUUUGUGAGCAAUCUUCAAUUCUUGCUUGUUUUGUGAAGAUGCCUUAACUUUCUUUCCGGUCUUGAGAACACUUUCAACCCUUGCCCUUUUUUUAAGAGAGGUUUUCUCUCUUUGGCCGAAUUCUGGGAAGUUUUAAGUUUCCUUUGCUUGAUUUGUGCCACAUGUCAUUGAUGACUUGUCCAUUUGUAAUGAGUCAGAUGUCAUAUGGAGCUUUGUGAUGCAUCAUUUGUAUGCAAUGAAAUUUACAUGUCUACAGGUGUAUUGCAGGGUUUGGAAAUCUCUCUUUAACGUGUUGAUGAGUUUGAAAAAUGUACAUUAAUGUGCAGUCAUGGUUGUUUGCCAAUUUUCUCAAUUUGGCCCCAUCUUUAUCAAUUGAGGUCUUCACUUUUUGCUCAUAUAUAAUGCAGACCUGUUGCAGUAAGCAAUAUUUAAGUUAAAAAAUAGCUCGUGGCUUCCUCUUCAUCUUCUUAUUCUCUUGCAUUAUAUCAUUUUUGUUUAAUUACCAUCCAUCAUUGCUUUUAUAUGAUUGUGGGGAACUUUAUGCCUUGAAUGUGGAGGAGCUCCACUAGCUUUCCAUGGCUUGUUGGGUAGUUGGGAAUGGAAGAAAUCAAUCUUAAAAGGAAAUUUCUCUUAGACGUAUUGAAUAUGCACAAGAGCUCUCUCUAACCCACCCAUCUUCUUCAUCCAAGCGCUCUCUCUCUCCCCUCUCUACAUUUUGAAUAUGCACAAGAGCUCUCUCUCUAACCCACUCAUCUUCCUCAAUUUUUACCUUUUCAUUCAUAGGUUUUGUGAACUGGGUUUGCUUAAAUUUGCUUUUUGAUUGAUGAAAUUUUGGAGUUAAAGUUGAUUGGUUUGGUGUUUCUUGGAGGAGACCCAAAUCCUUUUUUUUAUCAUAUCUCUGAUUUAUAUUUGGAUUUUCAUUUCUUCUGCCUUCUCCUUCCUUCUGCUCCCUCUCUCCAUCCAAAUUUACAAGCACUAAAAUAGGGUUUGGCUUUUGCUACAAUUAAAUGAAAAAAAACGUAUUAAAGGUCAGUUACCUUUUGGAGAAGAGAUAAUUUUGAGGGAAAAGAGAGAAAUCAGAGUGGAAAGAAGGAAGAGAGAAGGAUAUGGAUGAAAUUGUUUUGCGUAGUCGUUCGCUCUCUUCGUAUUAAGCUCACUCAUACAUUGUAUGUACACGACAUGCACAUGUUAUGCUCACAGAUCUGCGCUCAACCCAAAAACCUACAGCUCACAGCUCUUUCUUCGAAAUCAGAAAAAUGACGCAAUUAGAUAAAUGAUCCUAAACUUUAUAUGAAGAAUCGAAGAUUCAUUAAUUUGAAUUUGGUAUCAAAUUUGAUUGGGUUCAAAUAUUUCAAGGAUUUGAAAAAUUUGCAGUUUGAAUGGGCACGAAAGAACCCAACUGAAUUAAAGGAAAUUGUUUCACGAACUCGUUCACUUUUUUCGUAUUUGCAGGGCCUGCCUCUGAAUCAAAGUAAAAAGUAGUAAACUAUGUCAAUGCGAAGAGUAUCAAAGAUGUAAAUACGCACCAUCUACACAAAUACAGUAUAUGCACACCACAUGCACAUAAUAUGUACAGUAUAUGCACAUGAUAUGCACAGAAUGAGAGAAACUUUAACGGCAACAUAUUGGUAUAGUGGAUACAAUUAAAACAUAAUUGUUAGGUAUAUAAGGUUACAAUGAUAGUUUGAAAAGUCUUGUUACGUAUAUCAACCACCGCUUAACCGUGCACGUGGAAAACAUGAUACUCGUUGUUGUUAUUUCAUGGACACGCAUGACCCUUAACGUCCUCUAAGUUUUUUCUUAAUUUUGUUUUUCACCGAGGCCAACUAGGUUGUGGUCAUACUCGCUAAAUUCUGAGGCACAACAUACGUGCAUCAUAACUAGUGAACAUCCCUACUUCUCAUAUUAAGAUGUAGCCAUGCACACCACAUGCAUAUUACGGAAAAAAAUUUCACAAAUUUUUGAAAUUGGACACUUAACCAGAAAUUGUUCCAUCCCAGUCUUGUAGCAUGUCAAAACUUGAACUUUAUUCCACGACCCAUAUGCCCCAACAUGAAACACAAACCCUAAUUUAACUUCUAAGUAUUAAUUUAUCUUACAAACAACCCAUUUAUUCCAUAAAUCAUUGAUGAAGGAACAACCCAUUUAUUCCAUAAAUCAUUGAUGAAGGAACUUGCAACUAAACACCCUACCUUACUAUGUCUGACAGUCGCCCGAAAGUGAAACUUUCCAGCCAAAACAGAAAAUAUGGUACAAAACCCAACUCAAUCUUCUCACCUCUCUCUCAUAUCCCUUUGUUUGAAAUCAGAGGCAUGAGGUGAAUCCAAAACCCAGCUCACUCUUCUCGCCUCUCUUUGGACUUCCGUCUCUUCAAAAUCGGAGCUCACAUAUUUGAGGAAGAGAGAGAGUAGAGAGAGACAAAUAAGAAAAUGGGUGAGAGAAAGUGAGGAAUAACCCAUUUAUAUGUGGGUAUUUUAAUAAUUUCAGUUUUGUGCAUAAUGUGCAAUUUGUCCUAUUUCAAUCUCAAGAUUAAGAACCUAUCCCAUUUUUUGGGUAUUUCCCUUUUUCCCCUCUUUCCUCCUUCCUCUCUUUUCUUUUUCCUCCAGCUUUUUCCCAUUCCAUCUAUUCUAGAGCAUCCUAGCUCUCUCCUCUAAUUUUUGCUUUGUUUAUUAUGUAUUUUGGUCCCACCACAAUGAGUAUCAAGAAAUUCACUAUAGCUUUAAAUAAAAUGGAACUUUGGUAAAUCUUUCAACUACGAAGAUUAAAUUUGAUCACUUUGAUCAUAAAUUGAAUUACAAGGUUUAAACCCUAUUCAUCGUACAAUUUAGUUAAAUAAUUAAAAUGCAAGUGUAGGGUGUCGCAAGUACAAUAAACCAUUCUAACACACAAAAUUAACAUACUUGUUGACACACUUUUUUCAUACAUAUGAGCUUUAUCAUGGUAUUUGGGUAAUGUCUACUUGUGUGUCCAACUAGCAUUAUCAAUAGUAAUAUUUCGACAUGGUGUCAACCAAAUGUUAAAGCUGAUUGGUAGUAUUUUUUAUAUCAUCUGUCGAGAAGAAACCUAUAAUAUAGUGAAGACAAUUAACAUUGCUACUUUGGAAAUAUAGAAAAUGUUAAGUAGGAAUAUCAUGCGAAAAUCACAAUGAACAAAUAGUUAGAAUUUAAACUUUGAUGGUUCAAUUCGUUAUUCUGAAAAAUCAAUAGCUGGAUUUGUUAUUACUUAUUAGACUCCAACAAAUAUACCUUUGUAGUGGAAGAUGAAGUUAUUGGUUUAAAAUAUGGCUUGAUUUUACCACAAUGAUUCGGCUGCAAUGUCUUGAGGUUGAAGGAAAUUUUCAUAUUUAUCGAAAAGAAAAUAUAGUAGAACUUCGAUAAUAUGAUACCCAAUAAAUUAAUAACUUCAGUUAAAUAAUAUUUUUGACCAGUCCCGACUUGGGGACAACGUGCUAAAUUAAUGAUUCGCUAAAUUUAUAAGAUAUAUAUUAUAAAAAAAUUCAUAUAGGUCCACAAUAAUAUAUAAAUUAAUAGUUUGUUGAUACAUAAUGUUUAUUAUUCGACUAUAAUACAUAUUGCUUAUAUUUUUUAGUGCUACCUCGAUUAUCUUCUUUCAUUAUUUAUUUAUUUACAUCUUUCAGAUGAGAAGUCAUUGUUGUAUGUAUGAUGUGCUAUGUUAUAAUGGCUUUGGUUUAUCUAAAUAGAGUUUUUUGCUCGGUUAAAUGUUCAUAAAAUAGAAUAAUGUAGUACAUUAGAACAAUGUACAAUCUAUUUUUGAGAAAAAUUAGUAGAUUCAGGAAUUUUAACUUGAUUAAACAUAUACAUUGAAUUGUAUGUCGUAAAAAGAAAAAUUAAAUAUGAUGUACAAUAUUUAAGAAAAUAAGGAAUACCUUCGUAAAUUAAUGAGUUAUUUAUUUCCACCCAUAUUGUGUCCCCGAGGGGACAUCAAACUGAAAUUUCUACCAUAAAGAAUUGUUUCUUACAUGUAAGAAAUUUUUCCUUUUUAAGAUUAUAAGCAUUCUGCAGCUCAAAGAAAUUUAGUUUGUCUCAUGAUUGGUGCACUCAAAAUAUAUAUAAUAGUAGGUUUAUAUUCUAAUCAAUUCUAAACACUGAACCAGGCAAAAAUACAUUAUUUAUGAACGGUUAAUGAAAUCGAGGGAUUCAUGGCCUCAAUCUCAUAUGAGAAUUUGUGGGUUUGGUUGCUCAUGUCAAUUUUCGUUUUCCAUUGGCUAGGACCAGUCACAUUGAAGAAUCCAAACUCUGAUUCCAUAUAUAGCUUUCUAAGCCACGCGCAAACCCCACUCUUUUCUCCUCUAGUGGUCAAAUUUCUUUGCUCCUUCCAUUAACCAAGAAUUAUACAUCUUGCUAAUGUCAUAAACAUGUACAUUUUUUUGUGUACCAAAAAAACUGAGUGGGGCCAUUUGUUCCCUCUGGGCCUAAGGUGGCUCUGUCCAUGAUGAUAGUAAGAGUUCGUACCAAGAUAAUAUGGUGCUUUAAUAGGCCUUGAUAAAAAAUUAAAAAAAAUUAAAAUUAAAAAACAUUGAAAAAGAAAUUAAAAAAAAAUUGCCGGAGAUUUUAAUAAUCCGAACAAUCAAGAAUCAAAUUUUAAAAUUAAGAAUUUUGAGCCUUUUCUUUUUAUCUUUUUGGUUUUCCUUUAAAUUCACAAAGUAUUUGUAACAUCCCACAUCGUCCAGGAGAGUGAUCCUUAAAUGUAUAUUCACAUCUCUACCUAGCACGAGGCCCUUUAGGAACUCACUGGCUUCUGGUUCCGGAGGAACUCCAAAGUUAAACGAGAAGAAGGCCAGAGCACUUCCAGGAUGAGUGACCCACUGGGAAGUUGCUCGUGAGUUCCCAAAAACAAAACCGUGAGGGAAUGGUAAGCUCAAAACGGACAAUAUGGUGCUAUGGUGGUAGAGCGGGCCCGGAAUGUGGUGGACCCAAGCCAGAAUGUGACGGUAUUCAUACAAACUUUGAUUUAGAAAGGGUUUAAAGUUUAUACAGAAAGUGGAGUAGCAAUGAGGAGGACAGGUGCAAUGAUAUAUUUCUUUCUUCCCUACUUGUGGAUAAAGACAUGGAAAAAUAAUGUACAUGGGAAUGUAAGGCUGUACUUCCUUUGAAAAUUGUUUGAAAGCAAAGCUAGCUACUCGGAGAAGCAAUUGCCUUGAAAAUUAUUAGUACAUUUUUGUUUUCUUCAUUAAUGUGAAAUCACCUCAAACCAAAUUGUAAGAAAACACAAAAAAGCUGAUAUUUGAUUGUUUAAAUUUUAAGUUAUUCAAGAUUUAAGUUGUUUCCUUUACUAAUAUAUUCACGGAAUCAAGUACCCUUUCUUCUGAUCGAUCUCUUUAUUGUGUAAAAGAAUUAAUAUUGUGGCACUAAAUCACCGUCAUAUAUCUGACUUGUUAUUUUGUCCCUCCUUUUAAGUUCUUUAAUUUGAAGAAAAAAAAAAUGGCUUGUAGCAGAAUUUUGGCCUCCAUAAAAGUCCUUCACAUUUGCUUGCGAAUUAUAAUAAAAUUACAAGACUCCAAAACGCAAAGCUAUUCAAUCCGAAGUUGUCAACUUGAAACAUUAGUCCUAGGAUUUGCGUCCAAUUGAAUCUUUGGUCCUACAAUAAAAACUUGUGAGUUUUGAUCCUAAGCUUGUCAUAAAGUGGAGGAGAACCGAUCGUUUUGGAUAACAUUGUUACAAUUUUUAUUCAAAUAAAGGGUUUAAAAGGACAAGGUAUUAGUAUGCACUCAAUUACAUAUGAUUUUAGCCAUCGAAGUUAUUUAGUUAGUUUAAUUAGAUGAUUAGUUGAGUUGUUAUGUUAAUCUUAAUUACAGAAGAUUAUUGUAUAGUAUAAGUAUUUGAACGUUUCUUACCGAAUGUAAGUAAGAUCAUAUUGUUCAGUUCAUAAAAAAAAAAAAAGGUUCUCUUUCUUCUUCGUUUGCUCUGCAACCUAGGAGACUAUCUCUGCUUUCAUGGUAGUUAUACAAGAACAUGAGUGAGAGCAUUCACAUAAUAACCCUAUCCCCGUCCUCCUAUCACUCCAUAGCAUAUCCGACCUCGCCUUUUUUUAUAAAUUUUAUUUUUAUAAUUUUAAUAAGCACAUGCAUAGCAUGUGUUCAAUUGCUAGUAUUUAUUAAAAAACACUAGAAAAUAUUUUCUUCAGAAGCCAAUGUCAUGUGCUUUUACGAUCCAUAAACAUUGUUAAAAACAAUUACAAGUAUGUUGGUUGUUAGAAAACAGUUUACUCUUUCAAAAAUAAUCUUAAAAACUCAAGUUUAAAAAUAUCCUUAAUCACGAUACGAGAAAUUUACAAAAAUACAUAUAUAUUAUUGAUUACAUGCAAGUUUCUCCUAUCAAUCUUUCACAAUGGCCAAAGUGCACGCUCAUAUCUGUUACUUCAAACUAAAGAGCUUUAAUAGUGACAACAUUUAAUCUAUUAUCUUUCCCCAAUUCAUGAGUUAAGAACUUGAGAGAGAGGAGAGAGAGAUAUCUCAAUAUGCGUGUGUACGAAGUGAUUUGGUCGUCUUCUAAGAAAGGGAACUGAAGUUGACACGAGAGGAGGAAAGCAGGCCAAGGCCUCCAUUAUCAAGAUUCCUUCGGACGUUUCUCCAGAGACGUGUGCUUCCCUCAAGCCUCGGGGGCCCCACCUACACCUUACCCUGUAGGGCCCACCUCGGAAACUAGCACCCUGCUGCUUCCCUCUCCAAUCCGGCAAAUUUUUAUUUGUAACCGGAACACGGAUGAUACAUCACGUAUUUUUAUAUAAGUUAUGAUAAUUUGUAUUUUUCAAGUUAUAAACUUUUUAACACACAUAUUCCAUAAUUUAUAUAGUGACACGUAAUGUACCACCUGUGUUCCAAUCACAUUGAAAAAUUUCACCUCCUAUCCCAUGCAUCUAUAAAUUCAGGUCGAUGGUGCAGAGCUUGGAGAUACAGCAAGCAAAAUACCAUUCAAGCGAAAACCCUAAUUUAAACACAUCUUCAGCUCCAAGUUCUUAAGUUUAUCUUCAACAUGUCGGGCAAGUGCGGCAACUGCGAUUGUGCUGACAGCUCCCAGUGCGUGUAAGUAGUGCUUCUUUAUCAGUUUAUUUAUGGAUGUUUGAUUCUUGCAUACAAGGUUAAGUAUAAAUUUCUCUCAUGCACAACAAAUAAUUAGCACUUGACGCUAUGGUGAUGGUGUACUUGUCUUGUGAAAGUUUUUCUCAUGUAUAUAGACCAUACAAAUGGGGAGAUCUUGGAUAUCCUUGAGGGUAUGACACCAGAGAUGUAUCACCAGAGACUAAACCCUAGCUAUAGCGCUAGUCAAAUCAUGUCAUGUUACGAGUGCUAUAAGAAUAUGGUGAAAUGUGUCCUUGGUGACACCUGAAUCUUUCUCCAAUAUAAGGGAUCCUCAUAAUUGUUUUCUACAAGGACUAUUCAUUAAUAUUUUACUCACUUAAUAACAAGAUUAUAUAAGGUAGUUUACUUGCUUAAAUGCAAAAGAAUUGAUGGAGGAUUUUAACCAAACAUUUUAGUUUACAGUUUAAUGAUAUUUUUCUUUUAGCAUUUAACGUGUUCCAUUUUGGAUUCACCUUUUUCGAUCUAGUUGGUGUAUACAUUCCAUCCAAGUAUUAACAUGCCAAUUCUUUGAAAUUGCAGGAAGAAGGGAAACGGCUACGACUUGGUGAUCGUGGAGACUGAGAACCGGUACUUUUCUCAAAAAGCUUCAAUACAUUCAAGUCUAAAAUUUUCUUCCCUUUGUUUCCUUUCGACUAUAUGUUAAAGACUAAUUAUGGAGAAUUAAUAUAUCUUGAUUUAAUUUGCAGCUCCAUGGACACCGUCGUCGUGGACGCUCCUGCAGCCGAGAACGACGGAAAGUGCAAGUGUGGCACAACCUGCCCAUGUGUGAACUGCACCUGUGGUCAGUAAGCCCAGAGAACCAAAUUAAGAUGUGAUUAAUAAAAGUGUCAUAUUAAUUAAGGGAUUAUAGACCCUUAAUUAAUGAAAAGUGUUUGUGGGAAAAAAUAACUUUGUGGCUUUGUCUUUCGUUUGCUUAUAGUAUUUGAGUCUGUUGAGUGACAUGUUGUACGUCUGUGAAAACAUGUCACUCAUAUGUUUGUGUUUCUGUGAUUGUGUCAUGUAAUGGCCAUGUUCAUGGCCCUUUGAUUUAUAUGCAAAUAUUAGAAUACAUGCUAUGGCUCUGUUAAUUACCAUCUUAUUUUUCAUCACCCAUAAUUUUGUUUCGCAUCAUAGCUCCAAUUAAUCAUGAAAAUUGAUGCAGCUCCAGUUAAUCAUGAAGUUGAAGAGAACGUAAUAUACGUACCCCUACAUAAAAUACUAUGGAUAUUGAUGGACUUAUAGUUCAAGUAGUUUAAUAUACCUUUCAAUCUGAUCUAAGGUUUGAUGUUCGAUUUCUCCUCUGUUAACACCGUUGGUAUUAAGAAACAAAAUGAAGACAAAUAUGACGGAUAUGUCCAUUAUGUUCUCUAUUUGAAACCCUUUUGGAUCUAGGGAUUGCUAGCUAGUAUGCUCGAUCAUCUUUAUUUAGCACUUCAAGAUGUUUUGAUUCCGUUUGCUCUUCCUUUGAGCAACCAAAACGAAUGGCACAAAAACGAAGAAUUAGAAAUCCCAUUUCACUGUAUUGGUGGUGUGAAUAGGGAGAGGGUGUCUUAAUUUUUUCUCACAUGGUCUCGCUUGAUUCGUUUGAGAUAGCGCCAACUAGGCGUCUAUAUUUCAUUUAAUUCCUCAUGAAUAAGAGGUUAGAAAGGGAUUAGUUUAUCUGAGAUAUUGAGAUGACAUAUUGUAACUUUAUAAAUUUUGAUGGGCGUAACUGUAAAUCUCAACAAAAUUACGUAAAAUACAAGUCAAAUAAAGAAGCUCUCCUUGUAUUAUUCUUCAACGUUCAAAUAUUAUUAUGUUGUAUGUCUAAACCUAAAAUAAAUGGUUUCCUUUCAAAACUGUUCAUGUAGCCUUCAACUUAUUAUCUUAACCAUCUCCGGCAACUUCAAACAUUGAAGCCUUCUGCACGUAGGCACUUGAGAUGAGCAUCGAUCCAUUUUGUGCAAGCGUCUUGACCAUGCUCCACAAUGCAUUCAUCUCGCAGCUUCUUAGUAUCCGGGCAAGCACAGCAUAUCUUCUUCUUCGGCUUUGUGUCCAGGGCAGGAGUAGUGACUGCUGACCCUUGAUUUGGCUGCGACCCUUUCAAAACCAAGGCAGAGGAAGUAUAUUCCGCUGGCAGUCCACCCAUUUCUCAAAUUUCUUGAAGACCUAUUAGAAAUACACUAUUAAAAACCGAAAAAAAAUACAAAGAACAUCAGCUUCGACUCAGAGCAGCCUUGAUGUUAAACAUGUAUUCAUUAAGGGCGGUAUACACCAUAUCUUACCUAAACAGAGAGAAUGGAAAAAAGAGAUACGGCGUCUUACUUUACUAGAACACAUCCUAAAAUUCAUUGAUCGCGCAUUAGCCUAAUCACUAGACACUAGCUCAUGUAAAACGAAGGAAAUCACCGUAAAGGAAAAGCCCGUUUAUUUAAGCAUGCAACGAGUUCAGAUCAACUAAACCACGCCUCUAAAUUCCAUUAAAUACAGAAAUCAAUCAAUUGAGACCAACCCUUUCAUAUCAUAGCAAAGGUGAACCAAUUUCAAUACUGAAGCAAUUCAACCAAUCUCCCAAAGUACUGGUAAGAGCCUAUUUACCAGCUUCUUUCAGCUUCAAACCGAAAAUCCGUUUUCCUACUAUUUUACUUGAAUUCAAAAUUCUCCAAACGGGCACUAAUCUACAGAAGGAACUCAAAACUAAAAACCCAAAUGAAGUAAUAAACUUUUUUCACACUGAUUCCGGAUUUCAAUCAAGAUUCAAGACACACCCUUUAUCCAAUACCCACUCUGGCAUUCCUUCAAGCACAUGGUGGGCACUUUGUUACUACAAUCAACUCCAUCAUACAUGCUAUACAUUUACCAGAACUAGCAGAAACUACCAAUACAAAGGGAAAAACAGAAAACCCAGAAGAAAAUUAAAGCAACCCAUCUAAUCAAACACGAAGACAGCCAUAACCACAGAGAUUUUGGAACCUUACAUCUAAUUUAUUGGAUCUCAGAAGGGUAACGAAAUUUGCAACAGAAAUGUAUGCGAAAAGGAUGGAAUUACUUACCAAUGAUACGGAAGGUGGAGAAGCUGAAACGAAGAAGCUUUGCGUCUUCUGCAGAAAUUGGGAGCAGCGAAAAGGUGUUUCUCUGGAGACGAAAGUGGCCGCUCAAAAUUUCAAGGCUUAAACUGGGCCGCGUAUGAGUCGAAAGGUCAACCAUGUGUUGGGCUCAGUGGGCCUACACAAAAUAUGCUGAAAAGUUUCAUUUUUUAAUUUUUUUUUUUAAUAAACGAUAUUAUUUACACGAAAUGAGAGAGUAAGGAUUUAAUCUCAUAAUAGGUUAGCAAUAGUUCAAAUUAAUAUUUAUCAAGUGUCGAUGAGAAAUGAAUACUACUAGACAAUAGUACUAAGUGGCUUUUUUUUUUUUUUUUUAAUUUUGUUAGUGAUAAAAUAAACAUUUGGACGAACACAAAGCAAUAUGUAAAUUGUUAGGAAACCAGGGGACUUUUUGACAAUACAAAUCUCCUUUAAUGUAACGUGAUUAUAGCCGUUAGAUUGACAAGUUUACUCAGACUUCUCUAGUAAGAUAUAGAUUAAUCAACACUAUGUUGAGAGUGAUCUCAUGAUUGCACAGCCAACUAUUAUCAUGAAUUCCAAAAAAUGCAAAUGUGAGUUACCUCAAUUGGUCACACAUUGUCACGAAACCAAGUAAAAGACACGAAUAAAUGCAUUUGUUGUCAUUUUAUUCAUUCCUUAAUGUGAAAAUUUACAACAGGGACACAAGCGAAUGUGCAAAAUUGCAAAUAAACAAGAGAGUUUGUAGAACAUGUUCAAGAUUAACAAGAUCCAAACAACCUAUAAACUAACCAGAAGUGAAAUCUUAUCUUUGUUUUUCUCUAUCUGCAAUUCUUGUAGUUACCAGAAUUCAACGUCAUUUGUUUUGUUAGACAAAAUCAUUCCAAUUUCCAACAUGAUCAAGAAGUUGAACAACUCGAAAUAUAAGAUACUCCCGAGCACCUUAGAAGUUUCGCAGCAGAGCAAAUGCAAUUCUCUACUAAUCAUACUUCUCCCUCCAUGAGUACACAAGAAGUAACACCCAUGAAAGCGCCAAUGUGACGUCACCGGCGACAUGUUUUGGCCAGUCUCCGGCGAGCUCUUCGAGGUUCCUCUCGAAGUAAACUCUCCAAAUGGCCAUGGAAAUGUGGAGCAACACGCAACCCUUGGCAAAGAAGCUCUGGAACUUAUGGUCUUUGACAAAAGCAACCAUGAACAGAAGGAAUCCAAUGGCAAACAGAAGGAAUCCGGAGAAGGAAUCCGCUGUUCGGAUCAAAAGCCGGUCGUGAGGCGUCGACCCUUGGAGCUUGCUUGCUGUCUCAUGGCCAUGGCUGAACACAGAGAAUUCGUAGGAGUAGAACAUCAUGAAAGCUCCACAAAUCAGAGCAAUCACAGAGUGGAGCAUGCAUAUUAGAAAAAACCCAGAUAACCCCAUUGCUCAAAAUCCCAAGUAAAACACUAAUCUUUCUUCUCUUCACAAAUAAACUUCGAGACGUGGGCGUAGUCACAUUAGCCAGAAAAGACGUGCUCCCCUGUGCACCGAGUUUGAAUCCCCUUCUCCUCCGCAGUUUACAAUAUCGCAAAAAGGAUCACAUAUAUAUCAAAAACCCUAAACCCUGAACUCUCACUUCACAAAUCCCAGAAACCGGAGCAAGUAAAUUGAUCAGAAGCCAACCUUACUUAGCUUCCACUCUAAAACUCAAAAAACCCAGAUGCUAGAUUGACCCACAGACCAAGAUUUCAAGAUUUUUAAGAUUUGAAAUAAAGAAUCAAACCUCAAACAAGGAAAACCCUAAUCUUAUUUAUCAAUGUUUUCCACAUGAUUUAAAAAAACAAGGGGGUUUUGCAUUUUUGGCAGAGUGAAGAGAGGAAAGAGGAAUGGAGCUUGGUUGAGAAAUUUCAGCAACUACAACAUGCCGAUUGGCAGGGGAGGGAUUUUUCUAUUUGUGGUGAAUUAUUUUAUCUGAUUUUAUUAGCUGCAGAAAUUUAAAGAUGCUAUAAAUGGAAAGGAUUAUACAGAUUUAAACUUUGCUUCUGUCUACAAAACCCCACAGCUCAUGAACAUUUUCUGGUUUCUUCCUUGUUCUGCAAAUCAAUUGGAACAUUUGUGGGGGUCUACAUUAUUUUUCUAAUUUUCUUUAGGUUGUAUUAUUACUAAAUUGACCAAAAAAACAUAGAAUACACCAUAUCUAGAAAAUAUUUCCUCACAUCCUUUUUCAGAAGAAAAUUAAGAAAAAAAUGUAUUUUUUAGGAGGCUCAUAAAGACUUUUGUCCCUCUUUUGAAGAUUCUAUAUUUUGUCUUUUUUAAGUUGGGAAAAUUUGAAAUACGUCCAAUUUUAUAGGCAUACUUUUGAAAUAGGUCCAAUUUUUAGUUACUUUGGACCAUGGUCUAAAAUAUCCAUAAUAUCCCGAUAUUUUUAUCAAAAUUUCCGUGUUUUUGGACUACCGAUAUUUUUUUGGACUACCGAUAUUUCCGAUUUCAUCGAUAUUUUAGACCUUACUAAGUCACUCAUGUAUCUUACCAUGCAAUGUAUAAAGUGCAAAAUAUUGUAUUAAUUUAUUAUAUAUAAAUAAUUAUGGUGUGUUUAAACUUUUUUCAUUAAUUACUACAUAUUUUCUACACUCACAAUGUUUGACAGCUCGCUAUAUAAUCAACUUAAAUCAGUUAUAUCUAUCAUGCAAUUCAUUUCCUUCCAAUUUUUUGUGAUAAACUAAUAGAUAAUUGACUAAAUAAACAUUCUGCAAAGUUUCAAUAAAAAUUUCCAAGUUUUUCUUACAAUUUUCGUGGUUUUUAUUCAAUUUCUAUCGAUAUCGAUAAUAUCCCGAUAUUUCCAUCGAAAUUUCCGUAUUUUUAGACUACCGAUAUUUCCGAUAUUAUCGAUAUUUUAUACCUUACUUUGAACUCAUAUCAAAAGAUCCCUUUUAAAUUUGAAAGAAAGAGCAUCAUUACGUGAGCUAUUUUAAGAUACUAGUAACGCCUACAGUUUUAUCUUAAAAAAAAACGCAUCUUUAAUGGGAGAUACAAGUUGCUUCGAGAUUGACAUAUUAUAUUUUUAUUUUAUCGGAAAGCCUUGUAAUGGAGAAAUGUAAGUUAUCCAUCUUUGGAUGUGGGUUUCGUUAGUCGAAGAGAGAAAAAUAAAUGAGAUCCAAAUUUACAUUUUUUUUGUUGGAGUACAACUCAUAUUUAGAUUUAUUUUUAAUGUAAAAUAAGAUGUAAAUGUGAUAUUUACGUCACAAAAUUUACAAUUUUCUAUCAGAGAUGUUCUAAAAGCGGUGAAAAAAUUCAAACUCUCGAAAAAAAUAUUUGAAAAAAAAAAUGAAUUGUUAUUAGCAUUCUAAAAUUCUCAUUCUACACUCCAAACUUUUUAUAUUUAGAAAGAAAACUACAUUUGUGAGGAGUACAGAAUGAGAUUUUUAGAGUGUCAAUAAUACUUCCCAACAAAAAUCAUUUCUAAAUAAUUAGCCCAAAGAGAAGUGCGUUCACUUCACGUCUUAAGCUGUCUUACCAUGACUCAAUGUUUUUUUAAUUAGGAAGCUCACGUCUUGCAGAUGUCUAUGGAUUCAUUGGAGGAGGGUCCCUUAAAUUUUCUAAAAUAUUGAGUCUUGUUUAGGAAAAAAAUUUCCUUGUAACCGGAACACGGAUGAUACACCAUGUGUUUUUAUAUAAGUAGUGGGAAAUUUUAUUUUUUUAAUUAUUAACUUUUUAACACACAUAUCACAUCAUUUAUAUAAUGACACGCGAUGAACCACAGCAUGUUACCGUCAUAUUGAAAAAUCUCUCAUUGUUUAGCUCAUUGCAAACGCAAGUAGUUAUUUUUUUAAUAAUUAUACAAAAACAUCUCAUUAAACCCACAUAAGAGAAAGUUUUUGCUCGUCAAAUCAUGAUUUUUCUAAAAAAAGAAUGAUAACUUCUUGUGCGUAAAUGAAAGAUUACAUCGCCAUGCUAAGAAACCCUUCAAACUAAACUUGUUCUUUUUCACAAUGUGAGCUGGUGCUGUCAGAAUCUUGUGCAUCUGCAUAUAAAAAUUAUCUAAAGUGGAUGCACAAGAAAAUGAAUGCCAAGGGUUUGAUGGAUGGUUGGUUGUAAAUGUCCAUGUACAAAGUAAGCUGUAUUGCUUUGUUCUCUCCUGCACCAACCCAAUGACAACUUUACUAUAUCUUAUACAUUGAGAUUCACAUAACAUUAGAAGUAAUCAUCAUCAUAUGAUUCAUAUGUGACCACCACCUCACUUGCAGGCUACAGCUGUGGAAGUGCCCAUUCUUUUAUCCAUAUUAUUAGCGGUCGAGUUUAACCUAUUUAUAUUUGUGUUGUGGCCCUGUCAAUCUACAGGUUGAUUAACAUACAAAAUGACUUUAAAAUAAUAAUUUAAUGAUACAAUAGCCUGCGUUAUUCUUCAAACAUUUGAGAAAAAUUAUUGUUUAAUUGUUUCCGCGGAGUUUUUAUUUUCAUGUUAAUUUCAAAUCAUGUAACAUGUCUUGUUUGGAAAUUGUCAUUCUUGGUAUGUUGCUCAAGAGAAAAUUUUUAUUAUGCUCGGAAAAUGAGUGGUACAUCACGUGUCAUUAUAUAAAUAAGGGAAAUUUUAUUUUUCAAGUUGUUAAUUUUUUAACAUAAAUAUCUCUUCACUUGUAUAAUAAAACGUGAUGUACCACUAGAUAAUCUCGUGUUGCUCAAUCCCUCAAAUUCAUCACGCACACUUACCAAUGCAUAGCCAACUAAUGGCCAUAGUAUGGGAUCACAUGAUUACAGCCUCUUUACGAACCAAUGCUCUAAUCAAAGCAUCAAUCCCUGCUUCUUGCAAAAGCAAACCUCCUCUCCUCUACCCUCGCCUUUCCUCUCCCCCCUUCUAAAACCUCCAUUUUCUCUAAUCAAUUUCUGAAUCUCUAGUGCUUGUAUGUUAAUAGCUUUGCUGACAACAAAAUUUUAUCCAGGUCAGCUAUAUGAAUCUUAGAACGUCACUGUGCUCAGUUUUUUGUCAUAUCUUCCGCUAGAUUCAAGUAAUCCAAGUCUCUUCUUAAAGUCUCUUCCAAGUCUUCCUCUACCCCUUUGGACAUGAGUCUCUGUCUCGUAAUCUCAUAUUCUAACUGGGGUGUUUUGUAGGUCUUCGUUUUAUAUGUCCAAUUGUGACUACUCUUAUCUUCAAUUGUGGCUACUCUUAAUUUAUCUUGGAUAUCUUCGUUCAUAAUCUUGUCAUUUUUCGUGUACCCAUACAUCCAAGGAAGCAUUUUCAUCUCCGCUACACUCAUUUUGUGUAAGUGAAUGCUUCAUCGCCUAGCAUUUCAUGCCAUAAAUCAUUGCUAGCCUUAUUAUCGUCCUAUAAAAAUUGUCCUUGAGCUUUAAUGGCAUACGAUAGUCGUACAACACAUACGAUGCACUCUUCCACUUCAUAUAUUCAGCUUGUAUUCUAUGAUUAAGGGCUCCAUCCAAUUCUCUGUUCUUUUGCAAGAUAGAUCCAAGAUAGUGAAAGCGUUAAUUCGCUCUUUGGUACUUUUUGAUCUCCAAUCCUCACGCCUAACUCAUUUGAACAUCCACACUCUAAACUCAUUUGAACCUCCAUUCCCACUAAACUUGCACUCCAUAUAUUUUGCCUUUGAUCUACUUAAGCGAAGAUCUUUAGAUUCUCACACUUCCCACCAAAGAUUAAACUUCGUAUUUACUUCCUCCUGCACAUAUGUAACCAAAUCUUCCUACCCCGUGACAUAUAAAUUGUGACAAAGGGAGAGGGAGAUUACAUUUUCCUAGUCAAAGAGUUCUCAAAGGAAAAAUGAAAAGAAAAGAAAAAUUAGAAUGUCUUGCUGUCUCUACUACACCACCAGCAACCUUAGGAUGGCGCUUCUUAUCUCCUCGUCCACGCUUUUGAGAAAUCGUCUUCCUGAUUGGAGUCUUUACAAAAAUGUGGUACCCUGUGGCAAAGAAGGUGGACGGCGAAUAAUAACCCUUGGAGGCGGGGGAGGAGGCAUGUGCUCCAGUAACUCUCUGUGGUAUACCUGUACAUUGCAAAUUUGCAAUCCAUAUGAACAUAUAAUAUGUAAAGCUUAUGCAUUCAAAAGAAGAGAAAAUAAAAAGAGACAGGACCUUAAAACAUAGUUCGGCAUAUUAUAUACUUAGUCACGUCAACAUAGCACCGUUACCACAAUAAUGCAUCCAAAUCUCCAAGAUUUCAAUACACAGAUGCAACCUUCUAGGGUACUAAACGGGAAGACCUAGCGGCUCCACUGAACCGCGCGACUCUACAACACCCUGACAAGCCCAAAAAUAUUCCAAAUAAACAAGCGAAACACGUUGAUUGAAAUGCAGUAAUAUAUUUUCAAACCCCAUAGGUAUUACUCAAAAAAAUUUAUACCAGAAGUACAAAAUCGUGCCUUUCACAAUCCAGAAAUAUAUUCAUGCUCCAAUCAACUUUUCCCAUUAUUUUAGCUCUCACUGUGGAAAAACUUAACUGAUCCCUGGAGGUAAAACGAUCAACUUCGUUGAACCAAUUGCAGCUAAAUAAAUUUGUGAUGGGGAUAUCAAUGGCGCUAUAAAACCGACAAAAAACACCACUUAUUGUCGGAUUUUUUGUAAAAAUCCGACAUUAAAUCGUACAAUGUCGCAUAAUGGAACCGACGCCAAUACUACUGUUACAAAAGGGUAUUGGCGUCACUUAUCUCCCUUUAACCCGCCACCAAGAACCAAAGUAAUAUAAAAUAAAAAAGAACAACAACGUUGCUUAAAAGCAACGUCAAGCAACAAUUAAAGAAUUAAAAUAUCAAACCUACUGUCGGUCCUAACCAACAUCAACAGUUAAAAUAAUAAAAAAAAUCUAAAUUAAUUAAUAAUAAUAAACAUUUUAUAUCACAAGUAACAUACAAAAACUCAUCUGCCAUUGCCAAGAUCUCAACUUUACAUAUCAAUUUCCAAAACCCAUUACAAAUCAUAAAAACCCCAUUACAUUCUGCUGAAAUUCGAAACCCUAAGAUUUGGGGAUUUCUUAAGCCCUCUCGCCCCUACAUACCACGUACGCCUCUGCCGCCUCCUGGAGCGUAGACACCGCGCUGCUCUGGAACCUCAGAUCGGUCUUAAAGUCCUGUGCGGUCUCCCGCGCCAGGCUCUGGAACGGCAGCUUGCGAAUCAAGAGCUCAGUGCUCUUCUGGUACUUCCUGAUCUCCCUUAGGGCAACAGUUCCCGGCCUGAAUCGAUAAGGCUUCUUCACUCCUCCGGUCGGGGGAGCAGAUUUCCGAGCAGCCUUAGCUGCCAGCUGCUUCCUUGGUGCCUUACCUCCGGUGGACUUGCGAGCAAUCUGCUAGGUACGAGCCAUUUGGGAAGAUGAAAGUGGAAGACUGAAGGGUUUGGGAAGUGUUUGUUUCUCGGGAAAAUUGGAGAGAUUUUGAUUUGGAUUGGAUGGAAAAUGGCUGAGGGUUUGAGUGGUAUUAAUUACGAUUUGGAGAGCAGAGGAAUCGCGGGAAGUUUGAAAUUUUGUGAUUUCGUGUGAACAUUUUGGAGGAGGGGUUUAAAAUUUUGUAAUUUCGGUUUAAUGAAAAUUUGCGUCGGUUAUAACCGACACCAUAUUCUGACACACUUUAUUAAAUACAUGCAGCGUCGGUUUAAAUGGAUUCAGUGUCAGUUAAAAACGACAGUACAUCUGACAUACUAACUGCGGGCUGACGGCCCCCUUCCCAAGUGACUGAUUGAAUUUCUCUUCCCAAGUGACUAUUUAAUAAAAAUUAAAAUUUAUGUCAGCUACAACUGACACUGGCUAUAAAAAUAUUUAAAAACUAUCAUUAGUGUCAGAAAAAAGCGACAUUAGUCUUCUUUUAACCAACGCUAACAUUAUGUUGGUUAAAAGCGACACCACUGUUAAAAAAUAUUAAAAUCUAUGUCGAUUAUAAGCGACAUUAACAUUUUAUGUCGGUUAUAAACGACAAUAAUUACGACACCUUGUAAACUAGGUGUCGGAAUGUCUUAAGCGCCACUAUGUUUUAUAAAAGCGACACCAACCACUGAUACAAUAAGGCCAUUUUGUAGUAGAUUACUGAUAGUUAAGCAAACACCAAGUUGCUGUAUGAGGCAGGGUAGUAAUUUCAAAUUCCCAACCAUGCUACUACAAGCGUGCACAUAGCAUUAGUCAGAACAGAAGUGUACCUCUCUAAGACUUGAAACGGAAUCCGGAUCCUCACCGGUGAGGAUUCCGGGGAUCCGUGAAUUAUAUCCGUUCAUCGUACAUCAUGCGGUUAUAAAUUAUUUUAAAUAUUUUUAUUUAAAAUUAAAUACAAACAGUACUUGACAAAAACUAACUGCACGAUAUACGAUAAACGAGCACGAUUUACGAAUUCCCAACACAUCACCAAAAGAAUCCGGAGAGGAUCCUGUUGGUGAAACGGAUCCACCACAAGCCAAAGCUUUCCAUCAAUCCAUAUAGAGUAUCUAACAUUGGGGAAAAUCUAUGCAAUAGAAGCUUCGGAAUCUGCCACAAAUACAUUAACAUCUAAAAAUUUCCCCAAUGCCUUUUAAUCCGGAUAUUUGGAGCAAACUCUGGACAGCGCCCCACUAUUUCUAUUAAGACUUAAGAAAAAUGCUAAUACUAUGUUUGGAUGAGACAAAUAAACUUAGAAUUUUGACAAAAGUCAGUUUAUAAAUUUACAUGCACCAAUUUCCUUGUUUGAAUUCAUAAACAUGGAAAUUUUGAAUUUAUGGGUGGAAAAAAACUUUGAAUUUGGAACCUCUAAAUUUCUUGUGAAUAGGUAUCAUUUCUAAAUUUCUAAGAGUAAGAGUUUAAAAAUAACAAAUUUUGUAUUCAAAUUCUAUUAUUCUUUUAGGUUAACUAAAUAAGAAAAUUCACAAAUUCUAAAAAAUAAAAUUUCGUCACUUUAACUUUCGUCCUUUUAAAAUUCCUGCAAGCUUACAUUUCAACGUCAAUUUUCGAAUCAACAUUAUAAAAUAUUGUGCAAAAAAAAUAAGAUGGAGUCCAUAGAGAGCCCCACUUUUAAAAGAGUUUCCUUAAUAUUUUUAUUCUAUUAAAUUAAAUUAAAAGCACCACCUGAUAAAAUAGAUGACAUUGGCAUUGUUUAGCAACUCAAACUGUUCUGACUAUUUCAAUCGAAUAGAAUAAAUAGUCACCGGAUAAUACUGACUAAAUUAGUCGGGCGUUUCGUGCAGUAUGGGACUAAUGACUGUAUUAUUUUUAGGAUUUGGAUCCUCUCCUGAGCAAGGGAGACAGAUCGUCCUGACCCAAACACACGAGCCGUUGAAUCACGGAUCCUCCUGACCCAAACACACGAGCCUUUGGAUUUUGAUCCAACGGUUACAAUAGGGGGCCCUUCUAAAAGUUAUAAUAAUUGUAACCAUUGAUUCAAAAUCUAAUGAUCUGUGUAUUUGACUCAGGAGGCUCCAUCUCCUUUGCUCAUGAGAGUAUCCAAAUCCUUAUUUUUACUAUGUUUGGCAACCAAAUAAAAAAAAAAGAAAAAAAAAAUUGACAGGGAGCAAAUCCUAUCUUCACGAUAGGAAGCAAAUGAAAAGCCCCCAAAUUAUAGCAAAACCUAAUUUGAAAAAAAAAAAAAAAAAAAAACUACUGAAAAUGGCUUGAAAAUUUUGAGUUUUAACGAUGACAAAAUAAAGGAUAAAAUGAAUAGUACCAUAAUUGACUUUUUAGUGUAAAAAUAUGAUUUUUCGUUAAAGUAAACAGUACCGAGAGUUUUUCGUUAAAGUUUCCUUGAAAAAAAGGGUAAAUUAAGGAUUUUUCUUUGGCAGCUUUCGUCCCUCAGUGGUCUGCAGUGGUUCAAAGCAAUCGGAUCUUUUGCGAUGUGGGGGCGAUGCGAUGGAUUUUGUGCUUUCUAGGUUUGGGCUCGUGCAGUGGUUCAAGGCGGCAACAAUUCGCAACCACGGGAUCUCGUUUCAAGAUACAACAACAAUGGCAGACUCGAGUGCAAGAUGGUGGUGUGAGCAGUUACAGAGAAGCAGUGGGUCAUGGACAGUGACGAUACGAGUUCCCAGAACGAGUUGAUUCAGACGACGAAGAUGACUCUAGACGGCACAGCUCUCCGAUUCUAGUUCUAUCCCCCACCAUGGAUGUUUGAAUAGAGACGUCAUGGCCUGGGUUUAAUUUGCCACUUCUGAUUUUCUGUUUGUAUAUGGUUGAUGUUGAUCAGAGGUGGGGAGGGAGAGAGAAGGAAUAUUUGUAUGAGCAUUUCGCGAUGCGAGCAGAGAGGUUGAGAGUGCGAUUGUGAUUUGCCUGACUAAUUAUACGAAGGUUCUGGGAAGGAUAAAUUAGAGGGUGUGAGGGGUAUUAAAAUGGUGGGACCGGUUUAAUUUAUCCGGUGCUUAAUUAGUACAGAUGAGCACCAAACAACUUCUAUUGUUUUAUAUGGCGUCCCAAACGAGGCUAUUGACUUUUCCUAGCAUCCAUACACAGCAAAAGGUAACACCAAAACCAAUGUUAGGAGUGCCAAUUUAACCAAGACAGGCCAAACUCCAGUUGCAAAGCCCAACGUCUACAGGAUAAAGGUUCAACAACAACUUACCAAGCAGCACUUUGAACAGAACCUGGACCAGAAGUUGAAUGUGAGCUAGAUGUUGUAGCCAGAUCGGUCAAAACUUAUGGUACAUACGACGAUGCAAACUUCUUCAACUUUCGGUUAGGUGGUAAAAGGGCCAGGCCAGUUUGGUGUAGGUAUUAUGCUCAAAUUAGAGUAUUAUACCAUUCUGUGUAUGUAUGAUUUUAUAUCACUUUCCUCAUACAUGCAUGUCUAUGCUUGUUUCUUUGCAAUGGUUCUAUUAAUUCCCAUGAAUCAUAUAAACUAAUCUUAAUAUAAGCAAUGCUAGCUACCCUCCUAUCUGCAUUUCCUUACUAUUGGUAUCAUGGGAUGGGACUAAUAAACAUGGCACGGCGUUCUUUUAUAUUUAAUGUAGAGUAGGUGUUAUUCACAUACUUUUUUUUUUUAACAAACGAUAUUAUCUACAUUAAGGAGGUGAGACACUUAUGUAGUUUCUUUUCUUUUUUUAACAAAUGAUAUUAUCUACACUAAGGAGGUGAGAGAGUGAGUUAAGCCUCACAAUGGUCUAGCCAUAAUAAUCUAGUUCAAAUUCGUCUUUUACAAGAAUCGAACCUAAGAUCUCUCACUUACAAGUGAAAAUGAUUACCACUAAAACGUAAUACUAAGUGGCUAAUAUUGCUUAUGUAGUUAUAUUGAAAGAAAAAAAGUUUUUAACUAAUUGCGAAUUGAACUAGUUGGUCAAGAUUUUAUGCUCUUCCACUUGCGCACAAGUUUAAACACGAAAAAAGAUCCUCUCCGAAUCCACUUUGUGGAGAUCCUAAAGAUCCCCAUAUCCUAGUCGUUCAUCGUACAUUGUGCAGCCAGUUUUCGUCAAAUACUAUUUGUGUUUAAUUUUAAAUAACAAAGUUAAGUUAAAUGAUUUCUUACCGUACGAUACAAGAUGAACGGCUAAUAUGUAAGGAUCCUUAGGAUCCACAGUGAAUCUAAAUGGGAUCCAAUUGCUUUAAACACCCGUUUGAUUAUUAAAAAGUUGAUUAUUUUUAAAGUCAUUUCAAACUCACUUUCAACUUUACCGUGAAAUUGACUUAUAAAGUUCCCAUUAGACGAAUCCACCCUUGUUGGUAUUAGUCACUACCAUCAGCUUGGCGAAUAAUCCUUGAUAACGAUUUAAUCAAAAUCAUAGAACAUUUGAACAAUCUAAAAUAUGACAAUUAUUUUUUCUUGUUUUGCAUGAUUCAAUUUAUGACUUUUAUUGUUUCAUUCCACAAGCUUAUUAAAAAUGUGAGUAAUAGUUUUUUUUUUUUUUUUUUGAGUAAAAAGUGUGAUUGUUGAAAUUUUACAAGAAUUUUUGUGUGUAAGGUAAGAGAAAAAUAUGAGUCUUUGGAAAGUGGUCAUAUCAUUUGAUGAGUCACAUAAGCAAAAAAAUUAAUAAGAAAUAGUUGUGAGCCCUAACACGUUAACAUACCGGAGUUUUGUCAGUUAGAUCAUGAUGUAUGAAUUUCAAAAAACUUAUUGUAUGACAAAAUUUUCAUGAAAAUAGGUUAUAUGACCUUUUUCUUCUUGCAUAUAUUUGCAAAACCAAUUCAAAACCAUGAGCAACAAUUGUUGAAAUAAUAAGGUUUUAAGUGUAAUAAAAUCACAUAGGAAUUUUUUUUUUUUUUACAAACGAUAUUAUAUAUACUAAGAAAGAGGAGGAGAUGACCUUCGCAUCACAAUGGGCUAGCAAUAAUGUAGUCCAAAAUCGCAUUUGACAAGAAUCAAACUUAAUACCUCUCACUUACAAGUGAAGAAGAAUACCACUAGACAAAAUACUAAAUUGCCACAUAGAUAAAUUUUAACCAAUCAUAAUAAUUUAAUGUAAAUCUACAAGCAUAGACAGUGCUAAACAAAUAUGAAUACUAGAUGAACUUGAGUUGGAGUUAAGGCAAGUGUUCGACACUAACUUGAAAAAGAAUUACGUAUUACGGUUUUUAUAGUUAUCCGCGCUAUAAUCUCUUACAAGGUACAACAACUCUCUUUGCGGGAAAAGCAUUGCAGUUCACAAAAACCGAAUUGUGUAUAAACUCACUCACACAACAGAAGAAUAAUUAUCCUAGAACUCUCUUUAUUUUGGAACUAUGUAUGUGUACGCAAAAAGCGAGAUCAAUUCACUUUGACUACUCUAUUUAGUAGAAGCAAGGUAUAAUCCGAGUUUGUUUCACUUAUGAGAGCCGGAGUUGAAUCCACUCUGAAUUUUAGUGUCUGGAGUUUAAAGAUAAAAAAAAUUGAGGUUUUGAUUUGUGUAGAACAGAAAUCAAAAUUGUUGAUUUGUGGUAGAUGAGCCAACAUAAUAAAUGAAUGUGAAUAGUUGAAUUCAAUUUAUGUGAUCUAAAUUUUUAAUCUCUUAGCUACAGACACUAAAGUUCAAAGGGGAUCCAAUUUCGUGAAGACUCAUCAAAAUAGGGAGGCCAAGAGAGUGGGCCCACAAGCUAAAAGCCUAAAACUUGCCGACAGGAUCCUCUUAAGAUCUUUUGGUAAGGAUCUGAGGAUCUGUAAAUUGUGUCCGUUUAUCGUAUAUCGUGCGAUCAGUUUUUGUCUAGUACUAUUUAUUUUUAAUUUUAAAUAAUUUCUUAUCGUACAAUGUACGAUAAACAGAUAUAAUUUACGGAUCUCCAUAAUUUUUACAAAGAGAAUCUAACGAUGAUCCGGAUUCUAAAACUUGAGGUGGGUCGGUCCCAGGGGCUCGUUUAUUUGUCCGAGUGGGAGAAGACAGCCAUAAAUUUCAUCAAAGCAUGAUUGCGUGGGUAACUGUUGGUAAAUUAAAUAAGACACAGACUGCUCUAGUUAGGUCAUUCAUUGUUUUCAUAAUCUAUAUGCACCAUUGGGUGGACCGACCCAUGAUUAAUAGCGGUCACAUUAUUAACUUAUUUAUUGUUUGUUUACUCGCACUAACUUUUCCACGUCUCGUAUUGUAUGGAACCAGAUUCUCUCUUGAGCAUAGGAUGAGGAUUCUUCUGAUCGGAUCAUCUCGAUUAUUGAAAUUUGAUCCAACGAUUACAAUAAUUAUAACUUUUAAAAUAUCCCCUGUUUAUAGCCGUUAGAUUAAAUUUCAAUGGUCCAGAUGACCCAGUCAGAGGAUCCCCACCCUAUGCUCAAGAGGGGAUCCGAUUUCGUAUUGUAUGGACCUGAUUAGAGAAAUGCUAAGAUCAUUUAUAAAAGAUAUGUCAAAAAUGCCACAUAGACAUAAAACUCGUUUGAAUGUGUUUUUAAAAUGACUAAAAGUGUUUUUGGUGAAAAUGUUUUUAGAACAAAUCUUUAGUAAAAACACUUAAAGUGCUUCCUGGAAGAAGCACAUAACUGGUGCUUCUUGCAGAAAGCACUUUAAGUGCUUUUGGAACCUAAAACAAUUUUCUCUAAAAACACUUUCAGUCAUUUUACAAGCACAUCCAAACGAGCUCAUAUAAUGAUAACAAAUUAUGUACUAUUUACUCCAACCAAGAUGUCAAUGAUGACAUGGCUAAGAUGACAUGGACGAUGUUAAAUUUGAAGCUGCCUUCAAAUUUUAUUUUUGUUAUUUCUAAAGGCAUUCCAAUUGUCUUACCUUAAAUGUUAGUACAUUUAAGUAUUAUUUUAUUAUUUUUAAACCAAUAACAACCCAACUUUAAUUAUUUUUGUUUAAAAAAACAUAAAUAAAAAAAAUAAACUUUUGGCAUACCAAGUGGAAAGAAAAUAUUGGCAAUAUGUUAAAUUACGAAGUCAGUCAUCAAAUUUAUAUUUGAUGUUUUAAAUUUGACAUCUUCUUUGGAGAUGCUCUAAAGAGGGUCUUUUAAAAGUGGUACUCUCUAUGAAUUUUUUGUCGUCUUAUGUUUUUGACACAAUGUUUUUAUAAUGUUGACACGAAAAUUGUUGUUAAAUUAUGAGGUGCCAAAGAGUUCAUAAAGAGUCAUACUUUAAAAGAGUUUCACUAGCAUUUCUCAUCCAAUUAUCAUUAACCCCCAAACAUUUAGACAUAGAAGGUGAUGAUUUGUUAUUGUAAUUAUUUCAUAUCAGUAGCAUUGCAACAUGUAUAAUCAUAAGUCUAAACGCCAUAUUAUAGGAUAUCAACAUCUUGAAGAAGAGGUUCAGUUAUUUUUCGAAGGUAACAUGGUGGCUCAUGAAUUGGUUAAACAUGGACUCUACAAUGGAGGUUUUAAUAUAUGGAUGGAGGGGGAACCACUUUGGCUAUCCCCCUUCCUUUAGUUUGAUAAUGACAACUUAUUGUAAGUGGUGAGCAAGUUGGUGAAGCAUUACUUUUCCCUCUUCUUUGUAGGAUUUUAAUGAGGCUUCCCUUGCUCCCCCAAAAUUCUUGUACUCUGUUUGUUUAACAGUACUGGAAAUAUCAGUUAUGAUAAAAAUAAAAAAAAUAAAAAGGCCAUAACGUGGAAUUGUUGUACGUGUCGGUAACAAAAUGCUACAUGAAUAUGUAACAUUACAAAUUCCCCAUAGGAUGAUAUAUUCACAUUAUCAGAUUUAGGGUUUGUAUGUAUGACUGCAACAUAAUCGUAUAGUUUGAAUGAAUUUGUAAUGUAUUCACAUUUUGGGUUUAAGGUUUGUAUAUCAAUGAUUGCAAUAUACAUAACUAUAAUUCAACUGAAUUUGUUACACUACAUUAACAUGUCAUCUUUUUCUCGUCACGAGAUGUUAUUGUCUCACACAAAUAUUCAUCGUAAUUAAUGGACCCUUGAAUUGAUGAAAAAAUAUUAGCCUUGUGCAACCCCCGGUUCAACAUAACAUAUGCAUCAUGCCAUUGCCAAAGUUUGUCUCAACACCUAGUCUAAAACCAUCAACAAGAAAACCUCGCUGUUGAAAAUGAAUCUUACAUUGAUGAGAGGAUGAAUCUUGCAUAUGCUUAUAAGCAAGUUGAAUUACUCUCCGUAUUGCCAAUUGGUUUUAUGGUGGAAAUCCAACAUCUUUACUCACUCAAACAACACUACUUAGUGCUACAAUUUAUGGAACCAAAAAACAUUGCCAAGCUUACAAUGCUCCUACAAACUAGGUACUUUUCCUAAGAAAUCUUACCUCUUAUGUGUUAAGUGACAUCAGAUGGUAAUGUUCUAGGUUAGUUUUCUUUAGCUAUUAUUGAAGAGUUCUAUAAAAGUUGUUAUUUUUUAGAAGAGUUUUAAAUACAUGUUACUUUAGCCGUUUGAUAAAAGAGAACUUUAACGAAAAGCUCUCAGUAUUGUUCACUUUAACGAAAAACCAUAUUUUUACAUUAAAAAGUCAAUUAUGGUACUAUUCACUUUACCCUUUAUUUUGUCCUUAUCGUUAAAACUCAAAGUUUUCAAGCAUUUUUCAUUAAUUUUCCUUUGAUAAAAACUUACUUAAAACUACAUGGGUAAAUGUCAAAAUGAUCUAGGCCGUCGAAAUUUGAUCAAACAGCUACAAAUAGGGGCCCUCUAAAGUAUAAUAAUUGUUGCCGUUGAAUCAAAUUUGAACGGCCAUGAUCAGUAGAUCCGUGGGCUCAGAUCCUUUGGAUCCAGAGAGGAUCCAAAUCCUUAUUAACCAGAUCCAAAUCCUUAUUAACCAAAUACAAUGCACAACAUCAUUUUCGUUUUAUAUUUAGAAAAUUGUUGAUAUUAUGCUAAAAUCCAACAAGUAUUACUCAAAAAUAGACUUGAAAAAAAAUUGUUACUUGUUGUAAAACUAACCAUUUGGGAGAAGGUAGAGGAAGGGCCGGCUAGAGAAGAAAGAAGAUAGAGAAGAACUUGAGGAAUUAUGUGUCUAAUUACUCAUGUUUAGUGUCUUUAUUUAUACUAAUCAUGAUGAGUUUGUUGCUUACAAGUAAUACAAGUUGUACAUGGAAAUGAUCUUCUAGAUCCUAUUGAUUUCCUAUUUCUAGCUACGCAAUCACACUAGUUUUUAAUCGGAUUCGUUCAAUUUCUCAAUCUUCAAUUGAAGAUCAUCUUUAGAAAAAUCUUGGAGAUUGUUCGGUCUUUUAAAUGUAUCAAAUAAAUAAACUAUCAUCAUAAAUAUGUUAUUUAGUACUGAUAUUGUAGAUUUAUUUCAUACAUUUGGUGCAUAAAUAAUUUCUGAUUCUAAUGAUUUUUCCUAGAGGUGAAUAAGAAAUUGAGGGAAUUCCAUUGUUAUAUUUAUACGACAAAGACAUGUUAUUCCCGGUAUAUGAGAUAUGUGCAUUCUUCCAUGAAGGAUACAAGUAUUUUCCUUACUAUAACGUAGUAAAAUUCAUAAAAGGCUUUUUAGUCAAAAUGGUACAUGAGAUUAACAUAACUUCUUGCUUUGGUUCAUAAGAUUUGAAAUCGAGCGGUCAUUGAGUUUGUUCACCAUCAACCAUUUUGGUUAUUCGAUGAAAAAUUUCUGUUAAAGAAGGACUAAAAUAACAAAAUUACUCUCAAUAUAAUAAAUAAUGGGUCAAAAUGAUUUGACAAACUUGAAGGUAUUUUUGGAAAAUGAUUUGGACCUUCAUGUUUUUUUUUCUUCAUAAAUAGUUGUUUAUUUUGUCAUUUGGGUCGAACCAAAUAAACAACAAUAAACGACAGUUUGACGAAGGCCGCUGAGAAAGCGGUGGAAAAGCCAACGACUUGAAUCAUUGAAUCGGCAUAAACAUUUAACAGCUCAACCCUAAACUUUUUUACGGACUACGCAGACCAAGUAUAUUUGUAAUAGUUUCACUCUCUUUGCAAGCACGUGAGAUGCACUCACGUCUUGGCAAAAGUGCUUUUCUUCCCUCGUUCAACCCUCUUUUUUUAUGUUUAUGUUUUUUUUAAUUAUUCCCUAAUUUAUGUUAGAAAAAUACCAAGAAUACUUUAUGAACCACAUUGUUGUUAGUCCAUUGUAAGACUAAGCUCAUCCCCUCCCUUUAGUAUAGAUAAUACCGUUUGUUAAAAAAAAAAAAAAGGUGACGAAGAAUCCCACUUUGAGAGUCUACUUAGCAUUUCUCUUUAUGUUAACAUGGUCUAAAAUUAGACGUGGUUUCAUUACACUUAAAAUGUUAAUAAAACUUUUUAUUAACAAGAGCAAUAUAAUUUACCCAAAAUUAAUUUAAAUUAUGGGGAGAGGGAAAUGGAGGAAAGCUUGAAAUCAAUGCGUAGUGGGAUGAAGAAAAGUGUUCUAUCCACAAUUAUUAUUCAGUAUUCACCACCUUCCAACAAAUUAUUGUUCUAUCCACAAAUAUUAUCCACGACUUUUUAACAAAAUACAUUAAUUCUUUCUAUGUAAAUGAAAUCACAUAUGAACUAGAAGUUAUAAAUUCAAUUCCUAAGCCACUUAGUAUUAUAGGUGAGUGAUAUUCGAUAUCAAUUUAUCUUUUUACUUUUUAGUGUAAAUAUAUCGUUGUAUACAAAAAAACUCAAUUCCAUAAAAAAAUGCAAGGAUUCCAAAUUAUUUUCAUCACCGAAAGUAAUAUUAAAAAUGUCACAAAUUCUCAUCUUCUCCUUUCUGUUAAUAAAAUAAUCAUGUAGUAAAAAAUUUUGUAAGCAAAAAGAAAAACCGAAUAUGAUAGAAACUAUAAUAUUACAAAUGGAGAAGGCGAUUAAUGCCAAUUUGGCCAAAGAUGGAAAUGAAUUAUUUCAAUAUUGUGACAGGUAAAACAUUGAAGAAAACGACGCAUGAAUUGAGAUAGAAAAUUUUUGAAAUUGUCUAGAAAGAGAAAAUUUCUAGACAUUUAGGAUUUAGUGAUAUUUUCUCUCGUUUUUUGGCAAAACAUAUCUCUAAUUUGAAUCAUCCAUCCCUUAUAGAAAAUAAAAAAAUUUCUAAAAUGAAUUGUUAUUGGCAUUCUAAAAAUCUCAUUUGGCACUCCAAACAUUUUAUAAUUAGAAAGAAAAAUACACUUAUAAGAAGUGUAGAUUGAGAUUUUUGAAGUGUUAAUAAUAGUUCCCUUUCUAAAAAUGGUAAGAUUAAUUAGUUUAAGUUGAUUAAGGUAGAGACGGCGCGUGGGAAAGAUGGUGAAAGAUAAGAAUGUCUUUUACGCCUUAGGCCUGUACAAACUACAGAGUCGGUCUUUUCUCUUGCACUGAAAGCUGCUGUUACUGCUGCGGGACACUCCCCCUUCUCACUCUACCAAUUUUUUCUUUUUCUUUUUACUCAAUUAUUUAUUUAUUUAUAUUAUUCGAGAGAUUUGAUGUUAAUUUUUGUUUAAUUUUUGUAUUCUCUUAAACUCUGCAACUCUACGUGUCUCUCUCCAGCCCCUGGGAGCCAUUGAUCCAUGUCCUUCCUUCUCCAAAUGCCCUGAAUAAUUUUCUAGGGUUUCCAGUAAAGGAGGCAUUUCCAAUAGGAGGGUGCUUUGUCUUGAAGGUGCUCAACAUUCUGCAGGUUGUGCAAAAAGGUUUGGACUUCUUGGAAAUUGGGGUUUUGUUUGUUGUGAAUUUGUGGGUAUUUUUAUUAGCAUUGAGAGUUUGCAUUCUAUGUGGAAGAACUGGCAUUUUGAAGGUUUUAUGUGCUGAAUUUAACUUACUAUGGUGAAAGAUUGAAGAUUUUCAAGAUUCUAGGGUUUGGGUUUCUGAAAUUGUGGGUUUUGCUUCUUGCAAAAGUGUGACUUUGGUGGGUUUGUGAAGGGGGGUGGAUUCAUGCAUUUCGUGCUUGUUGGAUCAUAUAUAUUGGAUGAGUUGAAUUCUGGGUUUUGGUUAGGAUUGUGUGGUCAAAAUGCAAGAUUUCUAAGGGUGAGAACAGUGGUUCUAUAGGAGGGCAUUGUUGGGGGUGGUUUUGGUGCAUAAUGGGUUGCAUUUAUUGUAAGCCCUCUGCAAUUGAGGAUAGCAAGGAGAGCCCCAGAGAGAGAUUGUCCAACAAGGGGGCAUCAGACUCGCGGACGACGAGGGUUGCUUCCUCAAGGAGGGAGGAAACUUAUCGGCCGAAAGAUCGAUAUGAUGGCAAUGGUGGGAGAGCAAUGUUGACUGAUACGCAAGUGAAUGGGCCUGUUCGAUCGCAAGGUGAGAAUUUUGAAAGGAAAAGGGAAAAGAUGGAGUAUGUUGUUGCUCAACAUCCUGGGAUUGGUAUCAUUCCAAAAGCUGCAGAAGGGGAGCAGGUUGCAGCAGGGUGGCCCUCCUGGCUAGCUGCAGUGGCUGGAGAGGCCAUCAAAGGAUGGGUACCCCGUCGUGCAGAUUCAUUUGAGAAGCUAGAUAAAGUAUGCUUCUUUUCUUGUUUAGUUCUCAAGUAGCUUUAUGGUGCAAGAAAAAUCUGCAUUAUUGAGUUUGAAUUUGGUAUUUUCUAUUUCAUUAUUGAGAUUGAAUUUGGUAUUUUCUAUUAUUGAGAUUGAAUUUGGUAUUUUCUAUUUCAUUGAAAUCUGUUUCCUUGUGGUUCAUAACUAAUUGAGGAACAAGGUUUACUAAGUAGCCAAUUUAAAGUUGGGGUUGAGGGCAGUAGUAUUAUUAUUACUUAUUAGUAUUGACAAGUUUAAGAGGUCGCACUUGGUGCGAUGGCAAAUGCCUUCGCCCAUGAGCGGUAGGUCUCGGGUUCGAGACUUGGGAGCAGCCUCUCCAUAAAUGGGGGUAAGGCUAGCCGACAUUCACCUCUCCCAGACCCUGCGUAAAGCGGGAGCCUUGUGCACUGGGUACGACCUUUAUUAGUAUUGACAAGUUUAAGAAUGUUGCGUCAAGGUAUACUUAUGAAUAGGCACAUGGAAUUCAUAUGGUGCAAAAUUCACUCUCAGUUCUCCUAUGUCUUUGGUAAUUGUAAAACUUUUAAAAGUAAAAGGCAAUGGAAAACUUGGAGCUAAGGGCUAGUGUACACAGAAGCGUAAAGCAUUGUUUAUUAAAAAUCAUUUGACAUGGGUGACUUGUUCAAGCAUAACAGUUUUAAGGUAGUAGUUGGUUCUGCAAGUUAUGAAUGGGGAAUUAUCUGCACUUGUAGGAUUUUGUUAAUUUUACUUAGGUAGGUUGGUUUUACAGUUUUAUGUUUUGGGUACUCUAUUGGAUGCUAUUUGGUUGCUAUGCUUAUAUAUGUAUCUGAUUUUCACAAUAACAUUGAGAAAAGAAAAAGGUUUAUGAUAUAUAAUAAAUACUAAAUCGCUCUAUUCGGUUCUUUCCACUGUGAUAUGAUACCUCUAUUUUUGGUUAUUUUCCUUGGUGCUAUCUCUUUACACUUCCAUAUUAGCUGGCUUUGGUUGUGUCCUAAUAUUUAUAUUUUGCAGAUUGGUCAGGGAACUUACAGUAAUGUUUAUCGGGCCCGUGAUCUUGAUCAAAAGAAAAUUGUUGCUUUGAAGAAAGUGAGGUUUGAUAACCUGGAGCCUGAGAGUGUUCGCUUUAUGGCAAGGGAAAUUCACAUUUUACGAAGGCUUGAUCAUCCAAAUGUUAUAAAACUAGAAGGUCUAGUUACUUCAAGGAUGUCUUGCAGCUUGUACCUUGUGUUUGAGUACAUGGAGCAUGAUUUGGCAGGGCUUGCUUCACACCCUGGUCUGAAGUUUACAGAAGCACAGGUACUUGGUCGUCUUCUUUCCUUCUUAUACUAAAAUAACAAGUUACUGUAGGUUUUUUGUCAGUUCUUGCUUCCUGUAUCUGCAUGAUGUUUGUGUUAUGAACUUUCUCUCAUCAGCAUCCAUUGAUGCUACUGGUGUAUUUUGUUUACUUUGACACUUGUGUAGUUGUGUGAAUGCUAUCCUGCAGUUUCAUUUCACUUAUGUAUAUAGGCUACACAACUUAUGUUAUGCUAGUAUCAAGACUGUUCAGUUGGAUGGAUGAUUGAGGUUCAAUUGAUUUAUUGGCAGGUUAAAUGUUACAUGCAGCAACUGUUAUGUGGACUUGAUCAUUGUCACAGUCGUGGUGUUCUGCAUCGUGAUAUUAAAGGUUCCAACCUUUUAAUUGACAACAAUGGCAUGCUGAAAAUCGCAGACUUUGGUCUGGCAAGUUUUUUUGAUCCUUGUCAAAAUCAACCUUUGACAAGUCGUGUUGUAACUCUAUGGUAUCGUCCACCUGAGCUUUUGCUUGGUGCUACUUACUAUGGGACAGCUGUGGAUUUGUGGAGUACAGGUUGCAUAGUUGCUGAACUGUAUUAUGGAAAGCCUAUUAUGCCUGGAAGAACUGAGGUAUUUAGAGUGUUUUUUUUUUUUUUUUUUUUUUUUUUAGUUGAUGCUCUUCACUGAUUUUUAUCUUCCAACUAUUUGGUAGUACAAAUGCGCACACGCAUGUUUCUGCAUUUAAAUUGAAUACUUUCUAGUUGGUGGAAGAAUAAGAAAUCAGCUAAGAACCUUUCUUAUCUAGUGGAAACCACCAUAAUGAAUCAUCUUCAUAAAUGUGUGCUGUAAACUUGCUUCCAUCCUUAUUCCUGAUCUGGUUUGUUGUGAUUUUACAACAUAAACCUAGUGGUGGCAUCUUGCAUGUCUGUCUUGUGGCUUUCUGAAUUGUUGUUCCUGUUAGGUUCAUUAUACACUUCGAAGUAGUUUGAGUGUAAAAUUUCAAAUUAUUCUUCCCCUUUCUUAGAAAUGGUUUGUUAGAUGUGAGAUUGCUCAUUAGAGGUGGCUUUGCAAGUAACCUCGUUGGGCCAUGCCACCAUGAAAGAUUUGUGGUUUUAGCUGGUAGGUUAGGGAUAGUUUAUGUACUGUUUCUGUUUGCAUUCCAGUUGCUCAAUUUCUCUGUGUCCUUGUAGUCAUGCCAACUUUGUAAUUAUUAGGAUAUGUCCCCUCUCCGUUUUUUACAUUCAGAAUCUCAUAUGCUUCUCUCAGAUGUAAGUGUUGUGCAACUAAAUAACCGGAUUUUGUGGAUUUUUACCUUGUAGGUGGAGCAGUUGCAUAAGAUUUUCAAGCUUUGUGGCUCACCUUCUGAAGAGUAUUGGAGAAAAUCAAAGUUGCCUCAUGCAACCAUAUUUAAACCCCAACAACCUUAUAGACGUUGUGUGGCAGAAACUUUUAAGGAUUUCCCUGCACCAGCUUUAGCACUUAUGGAGACCCUUCUUUCUAUAGAUCCUGCAGAUCGUGGAUCUGCAGCUUCUGCUCUCAAGAGCGAGGUUUGGAUCUUAAUUUAAUUCCAAUUUAAUGUUUUCUAAACAGGCAUUAUUUUUUCUGCAGUCUUUCUUUUAACUCGAUAUCUUCUUUGACACCAUUCUCUAUGUGUGCCUCACUACUUGUGCAUGCUUACAUCUGCGGUAGAGCUGUAGAUAUGUUGUGCUUUCCGUCUUUUGCCUGUGGUAUUUUUGAAAGUACAACUUUACUAUGUUCAAGUCCACUUUUCAUUGAGUUCACUUAUUUAACGUCUUCUCUGCUUUUAUGCCAUGUAAUGGUAGCUCUGGAGAUCAUGUUAAGCAAACCACCAGAUUGCAGCAAUUUUUUUUGGUUUUUCCUAUUCUGGACUGCGCUUUUAAAGGCUACAAUGUGUAUUUUAAUUGGCAGGAACAUUUGAUAACUCUCUUCUGCAUUAAUAACUAUUUAGAUAUUAGAAUCAUCCUAUUCUCUUUACGAGUUAUUUUACCAUAACUUUGAUUGUGUUUCUCAUGUGUUAUCUUUUUGUUUCCUUAUUUUUCACAGUUCUUUACAACAAAACCUCUUCCUUGUGAUCCAUCAAGUUUGCCAAAGUAUCCUCCAAGCAAAGAGUUUGAUGCUAAAGUACGGGAUGAGGAAGCUAGAAGGUGAAUGUUGUUACAUAAAUUAGUAACUGACACUUAACUACAAGUAGAAUUUUACCGUUUCUCAAUUUAUAGUUGCAAGGCACUUGCACAGUUGCACCACUAGCGUGUGUUUAUAUAUAUUAUAACUAGAUUCUACACACAUUUUAAGGUACUUACAUUCGUGGCAUGAGUGGUUCAGUCCCAAGAAUAACAACAACAAAGCCUUAUCCCUCUAAGUGGGGUCGGUUGUAUGAAUCCUAGAAUGCCAUUGUGCUCGGAUUUGCUCCAAGUCUUCCGUUGGCCCCCCAAAAAAAAAAAAAAAUGAAAAAGCCUAUGAUACAAGCACUGAGAGGUAAUUGAGCAAGUCGGACAGACUUGAUGCAUGAUACCUAUGGGUGAAGUUGUUCUUUUGUGAUUUUACCAAAGCUUCCAUGUAGGGGUUCUUGGGUUCUUAACAUCAAAUAAUGGGAAACUAUCUAAACGUAAUGGAAUGAGUAGGCCUUGGUAUUUAAUAACUGAUCUCAUAAGAGUCUGGACACUGGAGUUUCCCUAAAGCACCCUAGUUAGUACAAUUUUUCGUUGGUUGGGGCUGUGUAUGGUUGUGAUUUAGUCUCAUUUAUGAAGUGCAUUAGUGUAAAACCAUUUAUUAUUUCUGAGUACAUGCUUACACACUGAUGGUUUUUGGUUGAAUUCUGUCUACUGAUUUCUCAAGAUUUAAUUUGAGUAUUGUGAACCUGAUAUCAAGUUUGGUCCUAUAUGUAUAUUUUUUUCCUCUUCUAUUUUUAACAUUGUUAAUGUGGGUGGUGUAUAUAGUAACAAUCUUUUUCCACACAUUGGUAGACAAGGAGCAGCAGGGAAGGGCCAAAGGUUUGACCACGAAAGGAGAGGAACAAGAGAGUCUCGAGCCAUACCAGCACCUGAUGCCAAUGCUGAAUUAGUCAUGUCAAUGAAGGUAACCUGAUGUUAUUUUAACUAAAAACACUCACUUGGCUCCAUCAUUGAUUUAUGCUCUAACCUUUUAUAUAUGAUGAUAUUUAUGUGUUGCCUUUCUUUUCUGAUUUUUACAUGAACUUGCAGUAUUUAAUUGACAUAUUCAAUGCACUCUUAUUGCAUAGAAUCUGCCAGAAAAUAUCUUAUAUAUUUUCUCUUAUUGCAUCAAUGUUAUCCGGUGCAUGUGAGUUGGAUGCGAUCAUACCAACUCACAUGCACCGGAUCCAAUCAGAACUCCGAAGUUAAGCGAGUUUGGGCGAGAGUAGUACUAGGAUGGGUGACCUUCUGGGAAGUCCUCGUGUUGCAUCCCUCCCCACCUCUUUUAGAGGUCGCACUUGGUGCGAUGGCAAGUGCCUUCGCCCAUGAGCGGUAGGUCUCGGGUUCGAGACUUGGGAGUAGCCUCUCCAUAAAUGGGGGUAAGGUUAGCAGACAUUCACCUCUCCCAGACCCUGCGUAAAGCGGGAACCUUGUGCACUGGGUACGACCUUUUAUUUCUUCUUUAAAAAUCAUGUCUUUUUUUCAAGUUUUCUACUAUGAAAAGGGGCUUUUAUGAUCAACCCAAAUUUUCCCUUGAGUUAUAUAUAGUUAUAUACCCGUGCUUAACUUGUGAUUUCUACCAAUGUGAUUAACUCCGCAUAACAUUGAUGGUCUUGUUAAUUACCGACUUGCUUUUCUUAAACUACGAAAUAAUGUAUUUUUCAGCUGUGAAAUAAUUUCUUUCACUUAUAAUCUUGCGUAAUCCAAAUUGCAUGUUAUUAUUCAAUGCAAGAAAUUGUUGGACUCAAAUUUCUCUUGGAGACCCUUUGUUGUAAAUUAUUCAGUAUUGUUUAUGAUAUUACAUUCAUAUGGGAUAUAUAUCUCAAUACAAGGGAUUUUCUUGUUACAGAAAAGACAAGAUGGUUCUAAGAGCCGUAGUGAGAAGUUUAACCCUCAUCCAGAAGAAGUAGCUUCUGGCUUUCCAAUUGAUCCACCUAGGCCAUCACAAGCCGUAGAUGCAAGUGUAGAACAUCAUGGACAUAAUCAUAAGCGAGCUUCCCAUUCAGGGCCAUUGGCUCACCGGGCUGCAUGGGCCAAGUCUACUAAGAACCCAGAUGAUGCUCCAAAGGUUUCAACUGGAGCUGACUUGUCAGCAAUGUCAGGUUUAGUGGUAGCAAGGAGGAGUAUGUUAUCUGAAGAACGCAGAAAAAGGUCUAGUUCUUCACAAAUGGAAGUUCCAAAAGCAAUAGGCAGGUUUCCGGGUUCCUUCAAGGAGGCAUCAGAUCCCCUACAACAAGAUCAAAAGCAGGUCAUUGAAGGUUCUCAUCAAAAAGAUAUUCGAAGCAACAAAGAUCCAAUUAUUGUGAGUACCUGAACUCACGCCUUUUCCCCUAUGAUGGGGUUUCCUUGUUGAUUUAUAAUCGCUUGUGUAAAAUAACCUCAAGGGUGUGCGUUUUGUUUUAAUUUUGAUUUGUGGUUCAUAAGCUAUUCUUUAUGGUUUAUGUUUCGUUUUUUUUUUGGUUUAUUCUUGUUGCCCAAUAGAUCACUUUUUAUUUCUGGUUAUUUCAGGUUGGUUACGGAUCAAAGGGUCACAAAAUGCACUACUCAGGUCCGUUGCUAGUCCCCUCUGGGAACGUGGAUCAGAUGCUGAAGGACCACGAUCUCCAGGUCCAGGAAGCUGUUAGACGAGCACGCCUAGACAAGGCAAAGGUCAGAAAAUUUCACGCUGAGGCGAACCAAAUAUCCACCAAUUCAUUAUUUGUUUCUGGUCGUUGAGCUGGCAUAAGUAGACCCGAAAGCAGAGCAUCAGCAACAGAAAAAUCACCGCAGAUAAAAUUGCUGGUUUUCUCUUGUGAAAUGUGAGUUAUUCAUUGGUGGGGGGUGCUUUUAUUUUUUUGUAUAGGGGGGGGGGGGCACUCGUGGAAGAAUAGCCGGUGCCCAUUUUUAACUAAGUUUAUAGCACACGCUCGCUUGCUCUCUCGCUCUCUCACCUGUAUCGUUUUCCCUCCUUUGCAACUGAAAAAUAUGGCCCAUUCUUGUAGAGCUUGUUAUAAGCCAUAAGCUGUAGAGUAUGUGGGAAAUAUGAAAAUUGUGUUUUGUGAUGGAAAAGAGUAAUUUCCUUGUGCUGUUCUAACCACCUUCCCCUUUGUCAACUUUAUUUAGUUUUUGGAUAAAAAAUGGGGAAGGGGUGAAUCUGUCUACUCUUUUGAGUUCACAUUUAUAAUUCUCACUGUAAUCAUGAUUAGCCCCCUUUUUCUUACAGCUUGACUGGAAUUCUAAUCAUAUGCUGCAGAAUUUCCUAAUCCUUUGAUUUUUGAGUCAUAUAUGAUCUUGAAAAUAGAGACUACCCAGAUGAUUACAUGAAGACUUGUACUUGCCUAAAUUUUUGUUGGGUAGAUUGACACUAUAAGGUUGAAAAAUGUAUCUGGCUGCGUUUGACUUCUUGUCAUAGGCAUUUUUUUAUUAGAACUUUAUUCUAAUCAAACCAACAUACGGAAAGGAGGUUUCAAACUGUUCUAGCCAACUUAGCUACGUCUAAGUCUGCUCUUGUCGUGGGCAUCGAAAGUCUACGUCUACACACUCCUUUUCUCCUUAUGCACAUCCUAUUUUUUCAUUCCUUGAUUCUCCUUUGGUUUACUUAAUCUAAAGGUUAGAAAUAAAUAAGUGUGUAAAGAAGUAUGCGGAUAUAAGUUCCCAAGUCGGCGUGCUUGUUCAGUCUGGGUUUUUACCACACAAAUGUUGACUUGGAAAAGUUGGGGUUUAAUUCAAUUUUGUUGCUUCUGGAAGGCAAGGCAAGUUCUAUAUAUUUUGACUGCAGGAUGAUGCAGAAGACUCAUAGCUUACUGCAGGUGCCAUAGAAUUCAAUGGAGUCCCUUCGAUUACUUGUACUAUUCCUAACAACCCUCUUUCUCCUCCAAUCAAGUUUUGCAGUUGAUUUCUCCUUCACUGGUUUCAACUCAUCUGAUAUCUUGCUCUAUGGAAAUGCAACCACAGAUUCUGGUGUUCUUUCUCUCACAACCAACACCACAUUUUCCAUUGGCAGAGCUCUAUACAAUGCCAAGGUUCCCACAAGGUAUCCAGAUUCCAUAAACCUUUUGCCUUUCACCACCUCUUUCACCUUUUCCAUAGCCCCAUACAAGGACUCUCUCCCUGGCCACGGAUUCGUCCUUGUUUUCGUUCCCUCUCCAGGCAUCCAAUCCGCCUCUGCAUCCCAACAUCUCGGCUUCUUGAACAAUACCAAUAACGGUAACCCCAACAACCACGCUUUUGGAGUCGAAUUUGAUGUGUUCCAAGACAAAGAAUUCGGUGACAUCAACGAUAAUCACGUCGGCGUUAACGUCAAUUCUCUAACUUCUCUGGCUUCUUACGACGCUGGAUACUGGCUUGGUGAGGGCAGUAGCAUUACUGACUUUUCUUUCAAGGAAAUAAAGCUGAGUAGCGGAGACAACUAUCAAGCUUGGAUUGAGUACUGGAAUUACCAGCUCAGCAUAACAUUGGCUCCUGAAAAUGUGAAGAAGCCUGAGAGGCCUUUGAUUAGGGUUCCUCUUGAUCUCUCUCAAGUUUUUCUUGAUGAAAUGUAUGUUGGUUUCACUGCAUCAACUGGCCAACCAAUUGAAGAUCAUAAAAUUCUGAACUGGAGCUUCAAUAAUUGAAGCUAGUAUAAUAUUUAGAGUAUUUCGUCGAUGUACUCUCUGAACUUGUAGGUCGUUUUUAAUUUUCCACUUUGUUUUUUUUAGAAUAAAUGGGACUCAAACUAUUAAAAAAAAAAAAGCCAAUUACCUCCGUGCCGUCAUAUUUCCUAUAUAGUGCUACAUCCAAUGUAUUUAUCUUGAAUAUGUGAGUUGGAAGAUUUGUACCUUCAGAAACAAGUAAGGUUCAUGACAUGCCUCAUUAACCUGGCUUAAUGGAGGCAUGAAAAUAUUUGUUUCUUGUUUUGAUUUUGAUUAUGUAAAAGUUGAUGGUAUUGUAAAACGAUUAUAAUUCUCGGUCCUUAUUCGUGCAUGAUCUUUGUGAUUUUAUAUUUGACAUUUUUUUUAUUCAAACGAUAUUCUAUUAUAAACUAUUCUAAUUUACAAAACAAAAAAAUUUGAAUUCGGUGCAAGAAGAUGUGAGCAUACUACGUAAGCCAAAUGUAACAUUUCACAUUUGCUGUGUUUGCCAUUUCCAAAGUAGCAUUUGUUGCUGAUGAGUCAAUAUUAUAUUAUAUAUUUUACCCUAUUCUUAGUAUAAUUUGGUAAUUAUUUUGGUAUAAUUUUGAUACUUUGCUUUAUAUUUCCGAUAUAAGACAUUUGAUUUCCUCUGGAGCAAAACGGACGAAUUUUGGAGUGAUUCAAAUUGGAGGACGUUUGCCUGUCUCUUGGCUUGUUCGUGUCAAAAUUUGGGAUUUUUCUACCAAACGGUUAUUCUCUGGCGAUUUAAUACAAGAGCAGUGCGCGUUACUGGAAAGUGACGUUUCUGGGCUUAAAUUGCAUUUUUGGAGUCCAAGAUGACCCCAUAUGGGUUUGUGGCAUUCUGGAGAAGUGUUCAGAAUAGUCCAAGCUUUAAAUCCAUUUAUUUUGGGCCAGUUUUGGAGCUGAUUUGUGUCCAAAAUGUGGAUGUGCAGAUUUCUAGACGAAUUUACCAAGUCAAUUUAUGAUUUUGUUUCCUAUUUUAUUUCAAUUUAUUUAGUUUUCUAGUCUUAAUCUAAGACAUUUUACUAGGAGGAUUUGAUUUAAGAGUAGUAUAAGUAAGCCUUUUGGCAGACCAAGGGUUUUUCUUCUACGUACGCAAGAUUGAGAAAAGAAUUUGGCUAAAGCUUAGAGAUUUUCAAGACUUAUACUUUCAGGUGUUUUCGUUCUUUUUCUAGUUCAAUACGAUUAUGUUGAUUUUAAUUAUGAAUAUGCGUAACUAAUUCUCUUUGCUAGGUGAGGCCAUGAUCCUUAGCAAGAGUAUGUAGUCUCUUUUUAAUUUUCUUAUGAAUUUAUGCAUGCAAGUGGAUUGUUAAUCAUUGUGCUUUAAAUUAUCUAUUUGCCUUAGUAAUUCGCGACCAUCAGGAUAUUUAGAAAAGUAAUUUAAGGCAAUUUUGGUGGAUCCCUAAAAUUGACUAAGGCUUCUUGUGGUUAACAUGUGUAAUUACUUAGGAUGGACGUCACAUCUUAAGAGUUACAUGGUUUUUCAAAAGGUUUUAACAAAACUUAAUGAGUCUUGCAUGUUCACAUUCAAUCUAAACGUCAUGGACGGGUUGCAUGUUAGAUAUACGUUCUAUGUUGGGGGUUUCAAGUAAGACAUACUUUAUGAAAACCUAACCUUCAAAAUAUGCAUGUGUAAUUCAUAAGAAAUUAGAAAAACUACGUAGGAUUGUUAAGGUGACGGCAGAACUCUAGUGCUUUUCCAAAUUUGUUUCUCAAAAUCUUUUCUCUUUGAUUUGUUUCCUUUUUAAUUGGUUUUUAGUUGCUUUCCCUAAAUUACUCUUAUUAAAUUUCGUUUUUUUAUUACUUUUGAAUUCAAAAUCAACCUUUUCCAAUCUUUACUUUCAGAUAAUUAACUAGGAUUAUGGUUUUCAUAAAUUGUUUUAAAUAAUCCAUGCGGAAAACACCGUUUAUACUACAAUAACCUUAUUCUCUUGCAAGUAUUUUGUAUGAUUUUAACCUCAUUGCGCAGGUACCUAAAAAUCUUAUCAGUUGCAUAUGGCCCAAAGGCCACUAAACAAAACAUUUGAAUGUUAUGUGUCCAAUAGGGGCAACCAUGUCCACCACAUAUAAUUCAAAUGUGUCUGGUAGGACAAACAUGUAUGUCCACCACCCACAUAAAUUUCAUUCAUCAAUUUGAUCAAUAAUUUAAAACACACACAAGAGUCCCUACCAAACAACAUAACAAACUAAAAAAGAAAACAAAUAAGAGGCUCAAACAAAACGGACUUACACAGGCGAAUGAAUAUUAUUAUGCUGGAAAUGACCACUAACAAAUUCUUUUUUUGUGCUAACUAUAUGCUUAUAUCCAAAACGUUACUAUAGGUCUCAAGAUUAAACAUUUUUUUUUAUAAUGGAAUGCACAUGUAACUGUCACAUUCUAUCUUUCUAACUUGCAAGGGUGCACAAUGAUCUGAAUUUAUUUUCUUAUCCUUUAAACAUUAUCUCUACAAAACUUAACUAGAUCCAGAAUUGUUUAGUCAUCUAACGGUUAUCUAAAUAAAUAAACGAAUCAUGUUUCUCAUUUGAAUGUUGAAAUUUUAACAACAUUAGUUGAACGGUUAUAACUAAUCUCUAAUAUUGUGUUAGAACAUGAUAUGUUUUUAGAAGUUGAAAUUUGAUGCUUAAACAACAUAGACUUAAAUGGAUGGAUUACUGACCUCAAAUUAUUUAUUAAAGAUGCUAACACUUAUGCCCAAACAAAAUCUUGAAAUCUAUAGAUUUCUUUUACUCGAAUUUGAGAACAUGGACGUGCACCAAAUACAUUAAAUGUUGGGUACUUUUCAAGAGACGCUCUAUAACUUCUAUAGAAUGUGGUGGGACAAAUGAUUGACCUCGUACUUUAUUAAGGUCUAAUAAUUUUUACUAAAGAUAUAUCACACACAUGCAUGCUUUAUAAUUGACACAUACUAUUACAGAAGUAAAAGUGGUUGAUGUUUCUUAUUAGCACAAUUUUCGAUUUGUUAAAGAUAAAGAACGGUUCCAUGUGCUUUAUAAUCAACAGUUCAUUUUAAGAAUGUUACUUGCUAGUAUAACAGUUAAUUUAUUAAAUACAUAUAGAUAGAUGAUUAAAUACUCUCUAGAUUGAAUGAUUUUUUUAGAGAUGUUCUUUAAAUGAUGAUAAGGAUAAUGAAUGGUUAUGAUUAUAAUGUUUGUACAACAAAAUAAUGUCACGUCGCCGUUAAAUGAAAAGUAGCUUAGGCCAUGGUCUAAGCCAGGUGUUGUACAUAAUUAUCAUAAAUGGUUCAGAAUAAGAGUAUGAAAAUAUAAUAGAAUGACAAUUUAUAGGAAUAAGAUUUUCUUCCUUCCAAAUUCCCUCUCCUCCUCUCUCACUUUUCUUUUUGUCUUUCUCUCUCUAUAAGGAAGUCAACACAAAAUGUUGACGUGACUUAAUUAUGAACGUUUAUAUAAAAGGAGACUAGAAGAGGAGAAAAUAUCGAUCCGAGUUUACAAUGUUUGAUAAAGGUGGCCAUAUGGUAGUUUAAACAAAUAAUACAUGAAUACGGGAAGAUGACAAUAUGCAAUUACUACUGAUGCAAAAAGGGCCACAACUCUCGAUCUCAGCCUACUUACAAGAAACAAGUAUUUCUUCAGGUGCAUUUACAAUUUGUCACAACAUUACUGUCCAAAAAAAGCAUAUGCAUUAAUAUCUCACACAUCUAAAGAGAAGGGGCUUCAAAUAAUGAUAAUUAACAAAGCAUAGAUGGAAAAAAAAAAAGAAAAAAAAAAGCAUAGCAAACUUGCUGAUGAUAAGUAACUUGCUACUUUGAUACCACCACACAAUUUAUAUCUUCAUUACAAAAAAAAAAAAAAAAAAAAAAAAAAAAA